UUUUCAAUACUUGGAGUGACAGAUCCUAAUCUCAAUCAAUGCCAACUCAACAAAAACCUUCGGAGAUACCUGUAGAGCAUCUUUAAGAUCAUCCAGUUACGUUGUGACGUUUAAUAGCACAUAAGGUAUUCCUCCGGUAUUCGGGAGUUACAUAAUCUCAUAGUCGAAGGAAUAUGUAUUUGACAUGAAGAAAGCAAUAGCAAUAAAACUGAAUGAUCAUUGUGCUAAGCUAACGGGUGGGUCUUGUCCAUCAUAUCAUUCUCCUAAUGAUGUGAUACCAUUAUCAAAUGACAACACAUGUCCAUGGUUAGGAAACCUUAACCAUCUUUGAUCAACGAGCUAGUCUAGUAGAGGCUUACUAGGGACAUAGUAUUUGUUUAUGUAUUCACACAUGUAUUUAAGUUUCUGAUCAAUACAAUUCUAGCAUGAAUAAUAAACCUUUAUCAUCAUUAAGGAAAUAUAAAAUAACAACUUUAUUAUUGCCUUUAGGGCAUAUUUCCUUCAGUCUCCCACUUGCACUAGAGUCAAUAUCUAGUUCACAUUGCCAUGUAAUUUAACACCAAUAGUUCACAUGGUCAUGUGAUUAACACCCAUAGUUCACGUCGCCAUGUGACCAACACCCAAAGGGUUUACUAGAGUCAAUAAUCUAGUUCACAUCGCCAUGUGAUUAACACCCAAAGAGUACUAAGGUGUGAUCAUGUUUUGCUUGUGAGAGAAGUUUAGUCAAUGAGUCUGUCACAUUCAGAUCCGUAUGUAUAUUUGCAAAUUUCUAUGUCUACAAUGCCCUGCAUGAUGCUACUCUAGCUAAUUGCUCCCAUUUUCAAUACGUAUCCAGAUUGAGACUCGGAGUCAUCUAGAUUAGUGUUAAAGCUUGCAUCGUCGUAACCCUUUACGACGAACCAUUUAUCACCUCCAUAACCGAGAAACAUUUCCUUAGUCCUCUAAGGAUAAUUUUGAUUGUUGUCCAGUGGUCAACUCCUGGAUCACUAUUGUACCCCCUUGCCAAACUCAUAGUAAGGCACACAACAGGUCUGGUACACACCAUGGCAUACUUUAUAGAACCUAUGGCUGAGGCAUAGGGAAUGACUUUCAUUCUCUUUCUAUCUUCUGCCGUGGUCGGACUUUGAGUCUUACUCAACUUCACACUUUACAAUACAUACUCGAACUCCUUCUUUGACUGAUCCAUUUUGAACUCCUUCAAAAUCUUGCCAAGGUAUGUGCUUUGUGAAAGUCCUAUUAAGCGUCUCGAUCUACCUCUAUAGAUCUUGAUGCCCAAUACAUAAGUAGCUUUACCGAGGUCUUUUAUUGAAAAAUUCUUAUUCAAGUAUCCUUCUAUGCUAUCCAGAAAUUCUAGAUCAUUUCCAAUCAACAAUAUGUCAUCCACACAUAAUAUCAGAAAUGCUGCAGAGCUCCCACUCACUUUCUUGUAAAUACAGGCUUCACCAUAAGUCUAUAUAAAACCAUAUGCUUUGAUCACCUCAUCCAAGCGUAUAUUCCAACUCCGAGAUGCUUCACUAGUCCAUAGAUGGAUCGCUAGAGCGUGCACACUUUGUUAGCACCUUUAGCAUCGACAAAACCUUCUGGUUGCAUCAUAUACAACUCUUCUUUAAGAAAUCCAUUAAGGAUUGCAGUUUUGACAUCCAUUUGCCAAAUUUUAUAAAAUGCGGCAAUUGCUAACAUGAUUCGGACAGACUUAAGCAUCGCACCAGGUGAGAAAGUCUCAUCGUAGUCAACCCCUUGAACUUGUCGAAAACCUUUCGCGACAAGUCGAGCUUUGUAGUUAGUAUCAUUACCAUCAGCGUCACUCUUCUUCUUGAAGAUCCAUUUAUUUUCUAUGGCUUGUCAACCAUCAGGCAGUCCACCAAAUUCCACACUAUGUUCUCAUACAUGGUUCCUAUCUCAGAUUUCGUAGCCUCAAGCCAUCUGUCGGAAUCUGGGCUCAUCAUAGCUUCUUCAUAAUUUGUAGGUUCGCCAUGGUCUAGUAACAUGACUUCCAGGACAGGAUUACCGUACUACUCUAGUGCGGAUCGUGUUCUGACGUUCAGUAGUAACUUGAUAUGAAGUUUCAUGAUCAUCAUCAUUAGCUUCCUCUCUAGUUGGUAUAGGCAUCACGGGAACGGUUUUCUGUGAUGUGCUAAUUUCCAAUUUGAGAGAAGGUACAAUUACCUCAUCAAGUUCUACUUUCCUCCCACUCACUUCUUUCGAGACAAACUCCUUCUCUAGAAAGGACCCAUUAUUAUCAACAAAGCUCUUGCCUUCGGAUCUGUGGUAGAAGGUGUACCGAAUAGUUUCUUUAGGGUAUCCUAUGAAGACGCACUCCUCUGCUUUGGGUUCGAGCUUAUCAGGUUGAAGCCUUUUGACAUAAGCGUCACAUACCCAAACUUUAAGAAACGACAGCUUAGGUUUCUUGCCAAACCACAGUUCAUACUGUGUCGUCUCAACGGAUUUAGACGGUGCCCUAUUUAACGUGAAUGAACCUGUCUCUAAUGCAUAACCCCAAAAUGAUAGUGUAAAUCGGUAAGAGACAUCAUAGAACGCAACAUAUCCAAUAAAGUGCGGUUACGACGUUCGGACACACCAUUAUGCUGUGGUGUUCCAAGUGGCGUGAGUUGUGAAAUAAUUCCACGUUGUUUUGAAUGGAGGCCGAACUCCUAACUCAAAUAUUCACUUCUGCGAUCAGAUCGUAGAAACUUUAUUUUCUUGUUACGAUGAUUCUCCAUUUCACUCUGAAAUUCUUUGAACUUUUCAAAUGUUAUAGACUUGUGUUUCAUUAAGUAGAUAUACCCAUACCUACUCAAAUCAUCUAUGAAGGUCAAAAAAUAAACGCUACCCGCCGCGUGCUUCAACACUCAUCGGACCACAUACAUCGGUAUGUAUUAUUUCCAAUAAGUCAUUAGCUCGCUCCAUUGUUCCGGAGAACGGAGUUUUAGUCAUCUUGCCUAUGAAGCAUGGUUCGCAAGCAUCAAAUGAUUCAUAUUCAAGUGAUUUCAAAAGUCGAUCUGCAUGGAGUUUCUUCAUGCGCUUUACACCAAUAUGACCUAAACGGCAGCGCCACAAGUAUGUUGCACUAUCAUUAUCAACUUUGCAUCUUUUGGCAUCAAUAUUAUGAAUAUGUGUAUCACUACAAUCGAGACAAUAAACCAUUCACAUUGGGUGUAUGACCAUAGAAGGUUUUAUUCAUGUAAACAGAACAACAAUUAUUCUCUGACUUGCAUGAAUAAUUGUAUUGUAAUAAACAUGAUCUAAUCAUAUUCAUGCUCAAUGCAAACACCAAAUAACAUUUAUUUAGGUUCAAAACUAAUCCCGAAGGUAGAGGGAGUGUGCGAUGGUGAUCGUAUCAACCUUGGAAUCACUUCCAACACACAUCGUCACCUCGCCCUUAACUAGUCUAUGUUUAUUCUGCAACUCCUGUUUCGAGUUACUAAUCUUAGCAACUGAACCGGUAUCAAAUACCCAGGAGCUACGACGAACACUAGUAAAGCACACAUCAAUAACAUGUAUAUCAAAUAUAGAUUUGUUCACUUUGCCAUCCUUCUUAUCCGCCAAGUAUUUGGGGUAGUUCAGCUUCUAGUGACCAUUCCCUUUGCAGUAGAAGCACUCAGUUUCAGGCUUAGGUCCAGCUUUGGGCUUCUUAACGGGAGUGCCAACUUGCUUGCCAUUCUCCUUGAAGUUCCCUUUCUUUCCCUUUGCCUUUUUUCUUGAAACUAGUGGUCUUGUUAACCAUCAACACUUGAUGCCCUUUCUUGAUUUCUACCUUCGUCGAUUUCAGCAUCGCGAAGAGCUCAGGAAUCGUUUUCGUCAUCCCUUGCAUAUUAUAGUUCAUCACGAGUUCUUGUGGCUUGGUGAUAGUGACUAGAGAAUUCUGUCAAUCACUAUCUUAUCAGGAAGAUUAACUCCCACUUGAUUCAAGUGAUUGUAGUACCCAGACAUUCUAAGCACAUGCUCACGGCUGAGCUAUUCUCCUCCAUCUUGUAGGCAAAGUACUUGUCAAAGGUCUCAUACCUCUCGACACGGGCAUGAGUCUGAAAUACCAAUUUCAGCUCUUGGAACAUCUCAUAUGCUUUGCGACGUUCAAAACAUUUUUGAAGUCCCGGUUCUAAGCCGUAAAGCAUGGCGCACUAAACUAUUAAGUAGUCAUCAUAUCGAGCUUGCAAAACGUUCAUAACGUCUGCAUCUGGUCCUGCAACAGGUCUGUCACCUAGCGGUGCAUCAAGGACAUAAUUCUUCUGUGCAGCAAUGAGGAUAAUCCUCAUAUCACGGACUCAGUCCGCAUCAUUACUACUAUCAUCUUUCAACUUCUUUUUCUCUAGGAACAUAUCAAAAAUAAGGGAGCUAUAUCGCGAGCUAUUGAUCUACAACAUAGAUAUGCAAAACUAUUAAGACUAAGUUCAUGAUAAAUUAAGUUCAAUUAAUCAAAUUACUAAUGAACUCCCACUUAAAUCCACAUCCCUCAAGUUGUCUAAGUUAUACAUGAUCCAAAUCAACUAACUCAUGUCUGGUCAUCACGUGAAAUGAGGUAGUCAUCAAUGGUGAACAUCUCUAUGUUGAUCAUAUCUACUAUAUGACUCAUGAUCGACCUUUCGGUCUCCAGUGUUCCGAGACCAUGUCUGUACAUGCUAGGCUCGUCAAGUUUAACCCAAGUAUUCUACAUGUGCAAACUGUCUUACACCCGUUGUAUGUGAACUUAGAGUCUAUUACACCCGAUCAUCACGUGGUGUCUCGAAACGACAAACUUUCGCAAUGGUGCAUACUCGGGGAGAACACUUAUAUCUUGAAAUUUAGUGAAGGGAUCAUCUUAUAAUGCUACCGUCGUUCUAAGCAAAAUAAGAUGCAUAAAAUAUAAACAUCACAUGCAAUCAAAAUAUGUGACAUGAUAUGGCCAUCAUCAUCUCGUGCUUUUGAUCUCCAUCUCCAAAGCAUCGUCAUGAUCUCCAUCGUCACCGGUUCGACACCUUGAUCUCCAUCGUUGUGUCGUGGUCGUCUCGCCAACUAUUGCUAACGCAUAGCGAUAAAGUAAAGCAAUUACAUGGCAUUUGCAUUUCAUACAACUAGCGGAGUGACCCGCGCAUUUGCGCCGCUAGAUUUCCAUGUUGUCGUGUUUAUAUUUUUGUGUUUUUUUGUCAUAUUAUUAGACGCGGACACUUAUUUGGUUAUCACUGAGAUAACAUAUUUACAAAAUAUUAUCUCUAGGUUAGUUAUUCUAUCUCGCUCACUCUCGACAUAGUUUGUUCUUUUUUAUAUCAUGAAAAUAUAGUUCUGGAUAUCAACACAGUUUAUUACACUUGACUUGGGCCUCUUAGGAAUGCAUGGAUUUAAAUGCAUUUUAGGUGUAAUACACAUGAAUUGCUAUGUAGAUCAUUCUGAUAUUGCACAUAAAAAGAUAAUUUGUUAAGAGGAUGCUCUUGGAUGCCGCAUAUAAAUUAAAAAUAGAAAAUUUUAGAUGAGGGGUUACUUUAUUAGAGACAUGACGUAGAAGGAAAGAAAGGGGAUGCAUUGAAUUUGAAAAGGUUGCCCCAUCAGAUUAGAUUUCAUGAUUUGUUUUGUUUCAUCAGAAAAAAUGUCAAAAAGCUGCUAAACUUUCUAUGAAACAAUUUAAUUUUGGUUUUUCUUGCAUGGUGCAGGCUUUUGCUAUUAUUUUUUUCAUUUAGUUUUCUUCUAUGAUGCGAACAAUACGCUUCUCUUUUAUGGGGACUCUUUGAUUCAUGUUCUUAUUAAAAUAUUAAAGCAAAUGAAGUUUUAGAAUUUUCAUAUAUAACUUUUCAUCCAACCCAUAUCUCUCUGAAAGACUUUUUUCUUUUUGCAAUCCUGGGAAAUCAAGUCGAUAUCACAUUGUUUUUUUUUCGAAAGGGAGGAGGACCCCGGGCCACUGCAUCUGGACGAUGCAUGCAGCCACUUUAUUAAUUAUUCACAUAAGACCUUACAAAGUCAUACAACAGUAAGGCUAAAGCCACCGUCUAGGGAAUGUCUGUUGCUACUCCUAUUCAGUUGAUAAUGGGAUGUUGAUAGUCUGGGCCUAAUACCAAACAUACUUCGCAGCCGAACCAAACAUCUAAGACCUGAGGUCCCAACCAGGACGCCUGCCGGGUAUGGGGCACCCACCAGUCCGGCGCACUCCUCAACCAGGACGCCUGCCGGGUAUGAGGCCGCCGCAGCCACCUGCCACCAAUCCAUCUUUAGUGUUGUACUGCUUCAUCAACCUUGCCCAGUCUAGCUGUCGUCGACGCCACCACGACGCCAGACAGCGCCACCAUCCUGCGCUCGUCCAUCACCAAACGCCCACCGACGAGACCCCGCUGCCCCAUGCCGCUGAGACCCGCCGUAGUCGAUGUGUCAGAUGCCACGCCGCUCCUCCUCUUGUCCCCUCCAGCCAGCACUUGGUCCAAAAUGAUGCCCCCAUGAGGGAGAACGACAUCGAAACGUCGUCAUCGUCCGAUCCGGUAGACCCAUAUGUAGGGUUUCCCCAGGAACCUCCCGAUCAGGUUGACGUGACCUGCAACGACGAUGCCUCGAGAAGGAACCGACGUCAGAGAUGCCGCCAUCGUCCGCCAAGACCGCAGUCAGGCACAAUUUUCACCGGAAGCCAUGUCGUCCCGAUCUCAUGGCUGGCUAGAACCGCGCGGAGUCUCGUCAUGAAGACGUAUGCCGCCGAUGGUACUCCGGCAGAGAUCCUCCAUACCCUCACCGGUCCCUCCACGCACCGCCGGCCGGCCAAGACCACACCCCCGUGGAUCUGGACGGGACGCCAGAUCCGCGGUCGCCGCGACCCAUCUUCAGGCAGAGCCAUCCACCGGUUCAUCCAUGGAGUGCUGCCACCAUCCAUGCACGAAGGGAAGCCCAUCGCCGUCCUGGACCGCUGGCCGCCGCCGCACAGGCUAGGGGCGCCGCCCUGCCUGCUGCCCACGGGCGCACCACAAGAGACGCCCCUGCCGCCUCAAAGGGAUCCCGCUGCAGAUCCGCCCGCCCUAGCACCUUGGCACCGUGCCCGCCGCCACUGCGGACCUCGCCGGCGGCAGCGGCGGCGGGAGGAUGGCCGAGGGAAGCUGGCGGCGCUGUUUUUUUGGCCCCCUGGGCGACGCGCAUGUGCUUUUCUAUUUCUGUAUUUAUCUUUCCUGCGAGUCAAAAAUACCCUAAUUAAAUUUGGCAAUACGAAUGUGUUUGUCCUACAGGCGUAUUAAAUUCAACUGUUUUCCUAAAAAAUACUCAAUUGAUAUGGCAUGAAAAUAGGCUUCAAGGACUGCUUGUAAUGGACGUUUUUUAGACAAGCCUGACUCAGACGUGCUUCCCAAGCAUGAAUGCAGUGUGAGUCCCAGGCCGAUCAGUAUAUAUUACGAAAAAUGACACAGAAAAAUUACGUAUACAUAGGAGUCCAAUCUUGUGCUGCUGGCGCAUAUCGAUGCUGCAUGGGAGUUCAUCCUAUCUCCCCGCUGCGUUAAAAAAAAUCCUAUCUCCCUACUCGGCUGAAUGGCUAAAGGCCAUCAUAUCUCAGUUCCCUUCCAAAUUAGGCCAUCAUAUCUCUGAAAUAGAUCUUGAUGUAUUAAGCUAAUGGCGGCAUCUUAAGGAAAUAGUGAUGGCGAAGAUCGAAUUACACAAUUGACUUCUCCUGAUCUAUAAGCAUCGAUAUCAGAUAUCUUAACUGAAGAACACAUGUACGGUUCCAUGCAAUAUUUUCAAGAAUCACUUUUCAAUAAGAAAAUAUUUGAAUUGGCUUGUAUUAGUUGAAUCUGCAAGAUAACGACUUAGAAAUAAUUUAUCUCAAAGAUAAUGUUCGUGUAUGGAAUAAAAGAAAUUUUGCACACAUGCCGCAGGAACAUUAUUUUUUUUCAUAUAUAUCAAUUUAUGGAUGACAUAUGAGAAAAAGGGUUUCCCUCGCUUUGUAUUACAAAGUAACCAUCCGAUACAACCAACGAUAGGUGUGGGGCGGAAGCAGCACAAGCACGCCCAAAAGAAAAGAAAAAGAAAAAGAAAAAGAAACAAAUGCCGUGUAACGCCCCGAGACCGACGCUUCAGAAGACUUCCAUAUUUUCGUGAUCACUGUGUGUUUCAUUUGUGAUUGCUCUUUAUUUUUGCAUUGCAUCAUGUCAUCAUGCCAUCAUGUCAUUAAUUUAAAAAAAACUCAACUAAUUAAAUUGCAUGGAUCUUCGAUCCAUUUAAAUCGAGGGAAAUGCACAUGGUGAUUUCUCUUUAUAACAUAUAUCCUCCCAAUAUUAUUAGGGAGCUAUAUUAAAAUAUUUCAUUAAUUGGAGUUCACCAUAGCACACUUGCAAAUAUCCCAAUGCCUUUGUUAUCUUAAUUCUUGGUCUCCAACCUUGCCAUAUAUUCUUUCAUCAUAUUCCGGAGCUCCACCAAAAACACCGACAUUUUUGGACCUUCCUUUUAUCAAGUCCUAGUUCAAUCAUUUGAAUUCAAAUCAAAUGCGUUUGAAUUUAAAUCUUUCUAUCAUGGCCUUUUCUAUUUUCUCGCAACAAGCACAUUUUUUUGAGUCCGGGGAAAUUAUUCGCGUGUCCAACUUCUUUCCCUAACCCUCUCUUUCUUUUCUUCUCUCUAAUUCUUUUCUGUUAAAGAAAAUAAGGGAGAGAGAAGAGAGAGAGACCCAGCGCACCCCAGCCGGCCAUCUAGGCCCAUCCGCAGCCCAGCUCCUCCAUGGCCCAAGGCCCAGCUCGCCCCAACUCUUAACCCUAGCGAGCAUCUCCCCUCUCCCUCUCGUUCCCUCUGCCCGCCGCCACACACACACGCACGCAUCGAGCUAGGAGCUCCCUGCGCCCGAUCCCCUCCUUCUUCCUUGUUUCGCCAGGGAGAGGAGCGAGACCCCGCGCCUGCAGCCGUCGUCCUCCGCGCCCAGCAGGAGCGUCGCGCCCUCAUCCCGUUUCCCUCUGCUUUGCCUCUCCGUCGCAUGGCCCGGCGCCAAUGCCGCUGCUGCUUCGUCGCUCGUGCCGCCAUGGCCCUCCUCGCGUCUCCCUUCCUCGUCCCGCACCCGAGCUCCUGGAGCCCGAGCCGUCCCCGAGCACCUCCUCCUUGCUGCUUCGUCUGUCGCCGAGCAGGAGCUCCGCCGCCUCGACUCCUGGUCCGGCCGCCAUCAGCCGCUCCCUCGCCGACCUCCUGCCUCAUCCUCGUUCCCGCGCCGCUCGUCGCCAGAAGCCAACAGGAGAAGCCCCGCCUCUGCUCGAGGGCCCCGCGACAUCCUCUGCUGCACCUCCAUCGGCCGGCGACCUCACCUGAACCUCGCCAGCGAGCAGCCCGCCAGGACAGGCUAGUCCCGCUCGGAACCAACCUCCUCCACGCGCCAAGUCCCACCACGGCCAUCACCUCCCCGACGCCCUUGCUGCUGCUGCUAGACCACCUCGGUGCCACCAGGGAGUGCCAUACCGAGACCCUUGGAAUCAUCAAGACCGCCAAGUACCACGACAAACGGCGCCCGAACGACUACCGCACCGAACGCCAAGUACCGCGACGACCCCGGAGACUGAAUUCUGUCAAGUUCCUCUAUGAUACGUGCACCACUACUUCCACAACAUGUCGUGUACGACUACCGUCGCUCGGAUUCGACAAGACAACGUGUACCACUACCAUCGCCAAGUUCGACUACCGCACGGUUACGUCAAGUUCAUCUACGAAACGUGUACAACUACUUCCCACGAUGACCCGUGAACGACUACUUCCUCUACAUCGUACCGAACUUGAUCCGUUCCAAAAUGCACGCUUCAAAGGUAUAAUGACAAGACGACCGCCAUGGACCGAAUACAUGUGUGUCGUAUGAAAUGUUCGUGUUUGCACCGUGUCCGAAUUGUCACUCGUUUCCAUGCCACUAUCUCGUGGGAACCCGGUUGCCGGGAUCACCCCACCAUCUUGCAUGACACGCUCACGCCACGCUUCCUUUUGCACCGGUAUCUCCAUGAGCUACCGUAACCGGGAUGUUGUCGUGGCACCAUUUCCGUUUCACCGCCGUGGCACCCUUUUCCUUCCGCCAUGGUGACAAAUGCCUCGUAUCAUGCUCAUGUCAACAUUUUCAUAAAAUUGCUUAAAACUUGCAUAUGUCAUCCGCAUCAUGAUAACAACAUUUAAAAUGUUUAUAUUUGUUGCUUCCAUUAAAUUGCUAUUUGCAUAUGGGGUUUUUCCGGAAUUGUUGUUUGUUGUUCCGGCCUCAUUUAAACUUGCCUAAAUAGUUAGUUUACUUAUGCUUCACCUCUUGCCAUGUUAAUCAACAUUUAAUAUUGUUGGGUACAUAAAUGGGAGAGAACUAAAUAAUUAAUGUGGUGUUUCGUCAAUAUGCAACUCGUUGCAUAUUGAGCUCCACUUAAUUUGUAGUAUUGUUUGUUGCAUUUUCCCAUGCCAUGCCUCAUUUAAACCGGACAUGCAUCAUACUUGACUGUGCAUCAUGUCAUGUGUAUGUGGUGGUUGUUUACUUUGUUGUUUGUUUCUUUCCGGGUUGCUUCUCUCGUUAGCUUCGGUUUCAUUCCGGAGUUGUGGGGAUUCGUUCGACUCCGUCUGUUUGUCUUCUUCAUGGACUCGUUCUUCUUCCUUGCGGGAUCUCAGGCAAGAUGACCAUACCCUCGAAAUCACUUCUAUCUUUGCUUGCUAGUUGUUCGCUCUAUUGCUAUGUCGCGCUACCUACCACUUGCUUAUCAAGCCUCCCAAAUUGCCAUGAACCUCUAACCUUUGUCACCCUUCCUAGCAAACCGUUGUUUGGCUAUGUUACCACUUUUGCUCAGCCCCUCUUAUAGCGUUGCUAGGUGCAGGUGAAGAUGAAGAUUGCUCCAUGUUGGAUUAUGUUCAUGUUGGGAUAUCACAAUAUCUCUUAUAUUUUAGUGCAUCUAUACUUGGUAAAGGGUGGAAGGCUCGGCCUUAUGCCUGGUGUUUUGUUCCACUCUUACCGCCCUAGUUUCCGUCAUACCGGUGUUAUGUUCCUUGAUUUUGUGUUCCUAACGCGGUUGGGUGAUUUAUGGGACCCCCUUGAUAGUUCGCUUUGAAUAAAACUCUUCCAGCAAGGCCCAACCUUGGUUUUACAUUUGCAUCACCUAGCCUUUUUCCCUUGGGAGUCGCGCAUCCCAAGGGUCAUCUUUAUUUUAACCCCCCCGGGCCAGUGCUUCUCUAAGUGCUGGUCUGAACCGAGUAGACUGCGGGGCCCCCUCGUGGAAACUCAAGGUCUGGUUUUACUCGUAGGAUGUCUCAUCCGGUGUUGCCCUGAGAACGAGAUAUGUGCAGCUCCUAUCGGGAUUGUCAGCACAUCGGGCGGCUUUGCUGGUUUUGUUUUACCAUCGUCGAAAUGUCUUGUAACCGGGAUUCCGAGACUGAUCGGGUCUUCCCGGGAGAAGGAAUAUCCUUAGUUGACCGUGAGAGCUUAUAAUGGGAUAAGUUGGGACACCCCUGCAGGGUAUUAUCUUUCGAAAGCCGUGCCCGCGGUUAUGUGGCAGAUGGGAAUUUGUUAAUAUCCGGUUGUAGAGAACUUGACGCUUGACUUAAUUAAAACGCAUCAACCGCGUGUGUAGCCGUGAUGGUCUCUUCUCGGCGGAGUCCGGGAAGUGAACAUGGUUUUUGGGUUAUGUUUGACGUAAGUAGGAGUUCAGGAUCACUUCUUGAUCAUUGCUAGCUUCACGGCCGUUCCGUUGCUUCUCUUCUCGCUCUUAUUUGCGUAUGUUAGCCACCAUAUAUGCUUAGUGCUUGCUGCAGCUCCACCUCAUUACCCCAUCCUUUCCUAUAAGCUUAAAUAGUCUUGAUCUCGCGGGUGUGAGAUUGUUGAGUCCUCGUGACUCACAGAUACUUCCAAAACAGUUGCAGGUGUCGAGGAUACCAGUGCAUGUGACGCUACUGAGCUCAAGUGGGAGCUCGAUGAAGAUCUUGUUCGUUGUGUUGUUUCUUUUCAUGUUGAUCAGUAGUGGUGCCCAGUUGGGACGAUCAGGGAUCUAGCAUUUGGGGUUGUCUUCUUUUAUCUUGGUUCCGUAGUCGGACCUAUGUGUGUACUCUGAUUGGUGUAUGAUUUAUUUAUGUAUUGUGUGAAGUGGCGAUUGUAAGCCAACUCUUUAUCCCAUUCUUGUUCAUUACAUGGGAUUGUGUGAAGAUGACCCUUCUUGCGACUAAACCACAAUGCGGUUAUGCCUCUAAGUCGUGCCUCGACACGUGGGAGAUAUAGCCGCAUCGUGGGCUUUACAUGCCGACAACGGCAGGUCGACGAAACAAAGAUGACCAGUGACCGCUGCACCCACCGGAGAAGUACCACCGCGCUUCUAGCACUCCGAGACGUCGCGUAUCGAGCAGCACCUUCACGAAGGAAUGCGACGACGACGCCGCUGCUGCCCGGACAAGUCCAAGGGUUUCCCCCGGUACGCAGAGGGCAGUGGGGCAGGGGCAGAUCCGACGCCCUUCAGGAAGGUCCGGUGGCGCCCGCAGGCGUCACCGCGUCGGUGAUGGACGAGCCACCAGGGAUUUCUCCCAACCCAAUCAACCACCACCACCCCGGACGAUCGAAAGUGCUCCACCAGAACUGCCGCCCACCAACAUGUGCCACCACAGUCACUCAACCAUCAUCGUCGUCUCGCUGAGCCACCGACACGAGACCUGGAGGAGGGACGAGGGGCCAACGGGCUCGGGGGCAGCCGCAACUCAGCCGAUGGGAGGGGACUACCACCACCGCCGACACGGAGCCGACCGGACGUGAGGACAGGAGCUUACCAGGCCCGCACAGGCCCGGCCGGACCCCAAAGGAUCCGGACAACCCCUGCCGCCAUGCUGCAGCACAACGGCCGACGAAGCCGCCACCACCCGCAUCCCUCGACGCCGCGCCACCACCACCAGGGAGCCACGCCGCCGCACGCCGGAACGCCGGCCCGCCCCAACCCAGCUGGGGCCCAGAAGAGCCCAGAUCUGGGCGGAGUGGAGGCCGGUGGCUAGCCGCACCACCGCGCGCCCCGCGGCCAACGGUCGCGCCACCGCAUCAGAAUCGCCCGCGCCCCGCGGACCCCGCCGCCAGGACACACCAUCGCCGGCCGAAGAACACCGCCNNNNNNNNNNNNNNNNNNNNNNNNNNNNNNNNNNNNNNNNNNNNNNNNNNNNNNNNNNNNNNNNNNNNNNNNNNNNNNNNNNNNNNNNNNNNNNNNNNNNNNNNNNNNNNNNNNNNNNNNNNNNNNNNNNNNNNNNNNNNNNNNNNNNNNNNNNNNNNNNNNNNNNNNNNNNNNNNNNNNNNNNNNNNNNNNNNNNNNNNNNNNNNNNNNNNNNNNNNNNNNNNNNNNNNNNNNNNNNNNNNNNNNNNNNNNNNNNNNNNNNNNNNNNNNNNNNNNNNNNNNNNNNNNNNNNNNNNNNNNNNNNNNNNNNNNNNNNNNNNNNNNNNNNNNNNNNNNNNNNNNNNNNNNNNNNNNNNNNNNNNNNNNNNNNNNNNNNNNNNNNNNNNNNNNNNNNNNNNNNNNNNNNNNNNNNNNNNNNNNNNNNNNGGAGCGGCGUCGGGGCCCCCCGGUCGCCUCGCCCGGGGAGGGGACGCGGAGGUACAGGGACGGGAGGAGGUGGAGGGAGGAGCGGGGGAGCAAGGGAGGCGAGCGACGACGGCGGGCUCCGGCCGCGGCGGCGGCUCCGCGCGGGGGAGCCGCCGGCGGCGGCGCGGAAACCCUAGGCGGGGGGAGCGGGGGAGGGGGUUUCCUCAGAUCCGAGCAGGACGGUUUCUACGGGUGACAUAUUAUUACAGUUCUCCGUGGAUUGCUUCUCCUAAGUCCUAACUGUAUUAUUAGGCUCUACACCAUGUAAUUUUGGAAUUAGACGUAGGAUGUGUUUAUGCUAGAAUAGUUUAGCAAAAGGAUUUGCUCAUUCCCCACCCUGAACAUUUUAAAAAGCUCCACGACCACCUAAUUCAGGUCACCCAUUCACCCAUUAGUACGACCAUGUUCUUAAACUGGGAAGUUAGUUCCAGUAGUCUAACGAACUGCCUCUUUACUUUUACGGAAAAACAAAAGUGAGAAAUUUCUUCUCAGGAAUUCAACAUAUGAAAGGAUUAAUUAAGGCAAAACAUAUCAAUAGUAAUGUUGACUCAAACAAUGAUGGGAUGUGGUUUCAUCGAGCACGUUACCUAGAACAUUGGUACGAUUGGCCCCCAUGCAUGCAUGCUACAGGGAUCAAUUUGGCAAGCAUGCUCUCGUGGCUAGACCAAACCAUGCACGCUGUCAUCUCAAGUAUUACAUGACUACCAUCCAUAACUGAAAGCACAAGUGCUCUCUGGGUGGUUUUGGUAAUUAAUAUCAACAUAUCUCUUGUUGGAUUAAUGUUUUUAUCUAGUGUAUCUCAGACAAGUUCAACAGAUGGAGUGGCGUGGACAAGAGGAUGUGGAACUCCUUCAAGAUGCUAAGGACAGAAGAUUGGCUAAGCUCAAAAGCACAAGACUCUACAUUUUACUUUUAGUGAUCCAAGAUCACAUUGAGUCCAUAGGAAAGCCAAAACUAUUAAAAAGGGAUGAGGUGUUGCUUAAUGGCUUGCUUGCUCAAAGUGCUUAGUGAUAUGCUCCAAAGCCCUCAACCACUUUCUCAUAUCCACAUAUGUCCCAAACCAAAAGUCAAACUCGGCCCUACCGAAACUUUCUAUCCGGUGCCAUCGAGUUCAGUUGACAUAGCCACUGCCAGAAAACCCUAAUCAAUUCGGUCUCACCGAUGGGAUCCCGGUCUCACCGAGAUGGGCUUGCAAACUCUCUGGAUCCUGUUGCAUUAAAUUUGGUCUUACCGAGUUCUGUAAUCGGUCCCACCGAGUUUGCUUGACCAACUAUCUGUUUCGCUUAUUACCCAAAUCGGUUCCACCGAGUUUGUGUAAUCGGUCAAACCGAGAUGAGGCUUUUCCCUAACCCUAGCACAUCGGUCCCACCGAGUUGAUCAUGUCGGUCCCACCGAAAUUCCUAACGGUCACAUUAUGAACUGAAUCGGUCUGACCGAGUUUUCUAACUCGGUCCCACCGAGUUUGGUGAUUUGUGUGUAACGGUUAGAUUUUGUGUGGAGGCUAUAUAUACCCCUCCACCCACUCUUCACUCGUGGAGAGAGCCAUCAGAACAUGUCUACACUUCCAACAUACACUUGUGUUGAGGUCAAGAUAUUCCAUUCCAACCAUAUAAAUCUUGAUCUCUAGCGUUCCCCAAGUUGCUUUCCACUCAAAUCAUCUUUCCACCAAAUCCAAUCCUAUGAGAGAGAGUUGAGUGUUGGGGAGACUAUCAUUUGAAGCACAAGAGCAAGGAGUUCAUCAUCAACACACCAUCUAUUACCUUUUGGAGAGUGGUGUCUCCUAAAUUGGUUAGGUGUCACUUGGGAGCCUCCAUCAAGAUUGUGGAAUUGAACCAAGGAGUUUGUACGGGCAAGGAGAUCGCCUACUUCGUGAAGAUCUACCCUAGUGAGGCAAGUCCUUCGUGGGUGAUGGCCAUGAUGGGAUAGACAAGGUUGCUUCUUCGUGGACCCUUCGUGGGUGGAGCCCUCCGUGGACUCGCGCAGCCGUUACCCUCUGUGGGUUGAAGUCUCCAUCAACGUGGAUGUAUGAUAGCACCACCUAUCGGAACCAUGCCAAAAAUCUCCAUGUCUCAAAUUGCGUUUGCACACUCCAAUCCCAUCCCUUUACAUUCUUAACUUGCAUGCUUUACUUUCCGCUGCUCAUAUACUCUUGUCAUGCUUGCUUGAUAUGUAUUGUGAAUGUUUAAACUUGUGCUAAAACUCCACCUCAACUCAAAGAAAUUAAAAACUACAACUUUUCUUGAUUAGAGUCUAUUCACCCCCCCUCUAGACACCUCUUCUCGAUCCUUUCAGUUGGUAUCAGAGCUUUGGUCUCCAUCGCUUUGGUUUAAUCACCAUUGGAGGAAGAUGGAAGAGUCUACGUUGGGGAGUCUUAGACAUAGAGUGCCUAUACUUGAUGGAGAGUAAUUUCAUCAGUGGAAAAAUGAGAUGCUUGAGAUUUUCAAUGAAUAUCACUUGAAGAAGUACAUUACUAGUCCCUGCAUUUCCCCUAGUGAUCCUUUGCAUCCCACUCCCAAUGAGGAUCUUGACAUGAUUCGCAAUCUUAGAACUAUCAAUCUUAUCAUUAGAGGAUUGCCCAAAAACUUGAUUGCUAGCUUACCUACUCUUGAUUGUGCCUACACUAUAUGGAGAUUUCUUGAGGACGCUUUCCAAACUAUUCCUUGAAAAAUCUAGAUGAGAUUCUCCAUAAGUCUAUUGCCUUGAAUAGGAUGAGUACUAGUGAUCCUAAGUUUGAUGAUUGUCUAUUUGAGCUUCGUGAUCUCAUGCGUGCCAAAGGAGAUGUUGGAAUUAUUAGCAAUAUCAUUUCCGAAGUCAUUAGAAUCCAUAGAGAUGAACAUUGUUAUGGUCAUACUUCUAAUGAAUCACCUUUUCUAGGAAACGAUCAAUCACGAGAUGAUGUUGAACAUGGAUACUAUGAUGAGGAUGAUGAUAGUGACUUUGAUCUCGAUGAGUCUAUGAGAAACUUUGGUCUUAUGGCUAAUCUUCGCGGCUACACAUGGCUGGAGGAAAGGAAUGGGUCCUUGAUAGUGGAUGUACCGAUCAUAUGACCGGAGAUAAGGAUAUGUUUCGUGAGCUUGCUGAAAACAACGGCCCUCGGAAGUAUGUCACUUUUGGUGAUAACUCAAAGGGUAAGGUGGUUGGCCUUGGUAAGGUGGCCAUCUCACAUGAUAGCUCCAUACAAAAUGUUAUGCUCGUUGAAUCUCUUGGCUACAAUUUACUUUCCGUAUCUAGACUUGCUGACUUUGGUUUCAGUGUCCUAUUUACUGAAGUAGAUUGCCAAGUGCUUCGUAGAGAUAAUCAUAAAAUGGUCUUUACCGGUAUACGUAGAGGUGAUCUAUAUAUUAUUGAUUUCACUAAAAAGGCUCAACAUAGAACUUGCUUAAUUGCUAAAUCCUCUAAAGGUUGGUUGUGGCAUAGAAGGUUAGGUCAUGUGGGCAUGCGAAAUCUUGAUAAGCUUAUCAAAGGUGAUCAUAUCCUUGGAGUAAAAGAUGUUAUAUUUGACAAUGAUAGACUUUGUAGUGCUUGCCAAGCAGGAAAACAAGUUGGAGGGAGUCACCCCGUGAAGAACAUCAUGACCACGAGAAGACCACUCGAGCUACUUCAUAUGGAUAUCUUUGGUCCUAACGCCUACAAAAGUCUCGGUGGAAACUCAUUUGGUCUAGUUAUAGUUGAUGAUUUUUCAAGAUUUACGUGGGUAUUCUUUCUUGAUGAUAAAUUGCAGGUCCAAAAGAUCUUCAAGAACUUCGCCAGGAAGGCCCAAAACCAAUUUGAAGUGAAGAUCAAGAAGGUUCGCAGCGACAACGGAACGGAGUUCAAGAACACAAAUGUGGAUACCUUUCUUGACGAAGAGGGGAUUUCACAAGAGUUCUCGGCUACGUACACGCCUCAACAAAAUGGAGUUGUUGAGAGGAAGAACUAGACUCUUAUUGAGAUGGCAAGAACGAUGCUUGAUGAGUACAAGACUCCAAAACACUUUUGGGCAGAAGCGGUUGAGACAGCUCGCAACAAAUCGCUUGUAUCUUCACAAGCUACUCGGCAAGACGGCAUACGAGCUCCUCACCGGUAACAAACCCCAAGUUGGAUACUUUCGAGUAUUUGGCUCAUAGUGUUACAUUCUUGAUAAGCAUCGUCGUUCUAAAUUUGCUCCUAAAUCUCAUGAAGGUUUCCUACUUGGUUAUGGCUCAAACUCUCACACUUACCGUGUCUACAACAAUUUCACCCGAAAGGUUGAAGAUACGGUAGAUGUGAAGUUUGAUGAAUCUAACGGCUCGCAAGUAGAGCAAUUGCCAAUUGAUGUAGGAGAUAAAGAUCCUUCGGAAGCAAUCCAAGACUUGUCUAUUGGCAAGAUUCGUCCAACGGAGGUGAAGGAGAGUACCUCCUCUGUCCAAGUGGAAGCUUCUACCUCACAACAAGGUGAACCAAGAGUUGAUACAGAAGCAUCCACAAGUGGGACACACCAAGAUGAAGAAAAUGAGGAAGUACACCAAGAAGAACCUCAUCAACCUCCUUCUCCACCACGACAAUAGAACGACAACGUCAACAAUGAAGAAGGCCAAGAAGAAGAACAAGAGGAUGAAGAAGAUGUUCCACCCCGAUCAAAACAAAAGCUCUCACGAGUUAGAGCAAGAGUCGCCAGAGACCAUCCCGUCGAGCAAAUCUACAAUGACAUUCAAACCAGGAGAAUCACUUGCUCUAAAUCUCGUUUGGCUAAUUUUUGUGAACACUAUUCAUUCAUCUCUAGCAUUGAACCUAUGAAGGUUGAAGAAGCAUUGGAAGAUCCGGAUUGGAUAAAUGCUAUGCAUGAAGAGCUACACAACUUAGAGAGAAACCAGGUGUGGACAUUGGUCGAGAAGACCGACAACAACCACAACAUCAUCGGUACCAAAUGGGUGUUUCGCAACAAACAAGAUGAAGAUGGUCAAGUCGUUCGCAACAAAGCACGUCUCGUCGCCCAAGGCUAAACUCAAGUCGAAGGUAUGGACUACGUUGAGAUGUAUGCCCCCGUUGCUAGACUUGAGUCCAUCCGCAUCUUACUUGCCUAUGCUAAUCACCAUGAUAUCACCUUGUACCAAAUGGACAUUAAAAGUGCUUUUCUAAAUGAUGAAAUUGAGGAGGAAGUUUAUGUUAAACAACCUCCCGGCUUUGUCAAUCCUAAGAAACCCGAUCAUGUUUACAAACUUCAUAAAGCUCUUUAUGGUCUUAAACAAGCUCCUAGAGCGUGGUAUAAAUGCUUGACCAGGUUCCUUGUUGAAAAAGGCUUUGAGAUUAGAAAAAUAGAUUCUACUCUUUUUACUAAAAGGGUUAAUGGAGAAUUAUUUGUGUGCCAAAUUUAUGUUGAUGAUAUCAUAUUUGGUUUGACUAACCCUCAUUUUAGUGAAAAGUUUGGGAAGCUAAUGUCAAAGAAGUUUGAGAUGUCUAUGAUGAGUGAACUCAAGUUCUUUCUUGGGUUGCAAAUCAAGCAAACUAAGGAAGGCACCUUUGUUUCUCAAACAAAGUACACCAAUGACUUAUUCAAGAAGUUCAACAUGCAAGAAAGCAAAGGUAUGAAAACCCCCAUGCCUACUAGUGGACAUCUUGACUUUACCAAGGAUGGCAAAUCGGUUGACCAAAAGGUUUACCGAUCUAUGAUUGGUUCAUUGUUAUAUCUAUGUGCCUCCCGUCCCGAUGUUAUGCUAAGUGUGUGCAUGUGUGCACGAUAUCAAGCGGCCCCUAAAGAAUGUCAUCUUAAGGUUGUGAAAAGGAUAGUGAGAUACCUAAUACAUACACCAAAUUUUGGCAUUUGGUAUCCUAAGAGGUCUUCUUUUGAUCUUGUUGGAUAUUCCGAUUCGGACUAUGCCGGAGACAAGGUUGAUAGAAAGUCCACUUCGGGUACUUGUCAAUUUCUUGGUAGAUCUCUUGUGUCUUGGUCCUCCAAGAAACAAAACUCGGUAUCCUUAUCCACCGCCGAAGCGGAAUACAUUGCCACCGGUUCAUGUUGUGCUCAAUUACUUUGGAUGACCCAAACUCUUAAAGAUUAUGGGAUCAAUGUGAAACAUGCUCCAUUGCUUUGUGACAAUGAGAGUGCUAUUAAGAUUGCUCACAAUCAUGUGCAACAUUCUCGAACUAAGCAUAUUGAAGUUCGUCAUCAUUUCAUUCGAUAUCAUGUUGCUAAAGGGGACAUUUAUCUUAAGCAUGUUCGUACCGAUAAGCAAUUGGCGGAUAUAUUCACCAAACUGCUUGAUGAUAAAGUAUUUUGCCGUUUGAGAGGUGAAUUGAACAUCAUUGAUGCUUCAAACUUGGAGUAGGAACUCCAUGAGGAUACAUGCAAGACAUGAGCCUUUGACUAAUCCUUGACCUUUUUCUCUUAAGAUGAUAAUCAUAUGUAUUGGAUAUAUUUGUACCCUUGCAUGCUAUCUAACCCUUGUAGGUACUUGGAUGAAUCUAAAUCUAUGAGAUUGCAACUCACUCACAUAUUGAGUAAUCUCUACAUCACCAAGUCUCUACACAAUGGUGGUUGAAGACAAGGAAGCAUGAAACACCUCAACAUAUCCUUUGACAAAUUCUAUAUAUCAAAUUUCAUUUGGUAUCAAAUUCCAUGAUUGUCAUUUUGGAUACACAAGUGCUCUUCCUUGCAAGACUAACCCAUGUAGGUAGAUGAACUCAACUCGAAGUGGUGCUCCCAAUCCUUGAUACUCUACAUCAGUCUUGAGCAUUCCACACAAGUCCAACUACAUGAUCAAGUUCAACACCACCACCCAAGGUAUGUUAUUCCAUCUUAGAGAAGCUUUACCCCAAGUUAUGGGUCAAAGCAACUCAACAAGAUGUGAAUACAUCAAAUGCUUAAACAAAAAAUGGUAACCCCAUUUUGAGCUUAAACGAUGAGUAUGACUUAUGAUCAAGUGCUCUCACUUGACUCCUUAGUCAAUAUACUCUAACAUAGGUGACUUAGUCACCGCCCAAUUCUAGAUGAAGUUCUCUGGUGUUUCUCUGAGUUUUUGCAUUUGUUCUCUGCAUUUGUCCCUUGCAUAUUUAUUCCCCUUCUUUUAUCAAAAACAAACUUCAUCUAGAUUUUCUUUUCUCUGUUUUGUUCUGUGUUUCUUGCAUCCAAUUCAUUGCAAAUCCUUUAGUUAAUUCCUUGCAAAUCUUUGUGAGAUCGUAUUUGCCUAGUGAGCUGAGGUGAGAAGUGUUUUCUCUAUGUUGAACUCGACCGGUCUGCUAUUUUCGGUUUAACCGAAUCCAUUCGGUGCAACCGAAGAACACAACUCGGUGCCACCGAUUUCACUAUAGAAAAGAUAAUUUGCCACUUGUUCCUGUUUUUUGUUCCAGCUCCACUCAAUGAUUCUUGUCCUCUACCAGCAUCACAUUUUAUUUGCUACUUUGCUCUGUGACUCAAGGACCAAACCUGUUUUGACUCACACUCUAGAGGAUCCCUUCUUGGAAAUUGAUGUCAAAGGGGGAGAGAGAGUUCACAUCAAAGCUUAAUCCUUCAAAAGGGGGAGAGAAUGCUUCAAACAGGGGGAGAGAUGAAUUACAUGCCCCAGAUGCUUGGUGUUCAAGAGGAGAGAAGUCACAUGUCUUUAGAGGGGAAAGACAUGUUCAUGUUGUUUGUGUUUUGCUUUGCUCUGAUUUUCUAUUCCCUAUCUUCUCCCAGUAUCCCAUAGAAGAUUCAGGGGGAGCAAGACAUCUAAGGGAAGGAAAUCUUUGAAUUCAUUGCAUAUCUUUACCUGUUGGGGACAUGUCAAUAUCCAAUAGAGUACCCAGUACUCACUCUCUACAUGUUAUCCCAAUCUUGGUACUUUUGUGGCUUGCUGUUUGCUCUGCUUAGUAGAUGUUUCUGUGUUAUCUAACCUUGUUUACUCAGGUUCAUCUCUUUCAAAGCCAGCUCAAGACCACAAGGUAAGUAUAUGCAUCACACUCAUGUGCAUGAGGAUCUCUUGCUGAUGUACAUACUGUUUGCAAGAAGGAAUCAUAAGCAUGAAGGUACAUUUCCUAAACUCACACUGUUUGCUCUGAUGCAUAUAGCCAAGAUACAUGUAACUCAUUGCCUGCUCUUUCAUGAUUAUGCGUUCACAUGCUCUUACAUUCCAUAUUUACAUGAAUGCAUACAUGUAGGGGGAGCCUAUGCAGGUUACAUGUCCUUCCAACGCUUUACUUGCUAUUCCCUAUAUCUUUAUCCAAAGCUUUGAUGUAUGUUGUCAUCAAUUACCAAAAAGGGGGAGAUUGAAAGCACAAGUGCUCCCUGGGUGGUUUUAGUAAUUAAUGUCAACAUAUCUCUUGUUGGACUAAUGUUUUCAUCUAGUGUAUCUCAGACAAGUUCAACAGAUGGAGUGGCGUGGAGAAGAGGAUGUGGAACCCCUUCAAGAUGCUAAGGACAGAAGAUUGGCUCAAGCUCAAAAGCUCAAGACUCUACAUUUUACUUUUAGUGAUCCAAGAUCACAUUGAGUCCAUAGGAAAGCCAAUACUAUUAGAAGGGGAUGAGGUGUUGCAUAAUGGCUUGCUUGCUCAAAGUGCUUAAUGAUAUGCUCCAAAGCCCACAACCACUUCUCAUAUCCACAUAUGUCCCAAACCAAAAGUCAAACUCGGCCCUACCGAAACUUUCUAUCCGGCGCCACCGAGUUUAGUUGACAUAGCCACUGCCAGAAAACCCUAAUCAAUUUGCUCUCAUCGAUGGGAUCCCGGUCUCACCGAGAUGGGCUUGCAAACUCUCUUGAUCCUAUUGCAUUAAAUUCGGUCUUACCGAGUUCUGUAAUCGGUCCCACCGAGUUUGCUUGACCAACUCUCUGUUUCGCUUAUUACCCAAAUCGGUUCCACCGAGUUUGUGUAAUCGAUCAAACCGAGAUGAGGCUUUUCCCUACCCUAGCACAUCGGUCCCACCAAGUUGAUCAUGUCGGUCCCACCGAAAUUCCUAACGGUCACAUUAUGAACUGAAUCGGUCUGACCGAGUUUUUUGAUCCGGUCCCACCGAGUUUGGUGAUCUGUGUGUAACGGUUAGAUUUUGUGUGGAGGCUAUAUAUACCCCUCCACCCACUCUUCACUCAUGGAGAGAGCCAUCAGAACAUGCCUACACUUCCAACAUACAUUUUCUGAGAGAGAACCACCUACACUUGUGUUGAGGUCAAGAUAUUCCAUUCCAACCACAUAAAUCUUGAUCUCUAGCCUUUCCCAAGUUGCUUUCCAUUCAAAUCAUCUUUCCACCAAAUCCAAUCCUAUGAGAGAGAGUUGAGUGUUGAGGAGACUAUCAUUUGAAGCACAAGAGCAAGGAGUUCAUCAUCCACACACCAUAUAUUACCUUUUGGAGAGUGGUGUCUCCUAGAUUGGUUAGGUGUCACUUGGGAGCCCCCGUCAAGAUUGUGGAGUUGAACCAAGGAGUUUGUACGGGCGAGGAGUGUUGGAAAUAUGCCCUAGAGGCAAUAAUAAAUGGUUAUUAUUAUAUUUCUUUGUUCAUGAUAAUUGUCUAUUGUUCAUGCUAUAAUUGUAUUAUCCGGAAAUCGUAAUACAUGUGUGAAUACAUAGACCACAACGUGUCCCUAGUAAGCCUCUAGUUGACUAGCUCGUUGAUCAACAGAUAGUCAUGGUUUCCUGACUAUGGAUAUUGGAUGUCAUUGAUAACGGGAUCACAUCAUUAGGAGAAUGAUGUGAUGGACAAGACCCAAUCCUAAGCAUAGCAUAAAAGAUCGUGUAGUUUCGUUUGCUAGAGCUUUUCCAAUGUCAAGUAUCUUUUCCUUAGACCAUGAGAUCGUGUAACUCCCGGAUACCGUAGGAGUGCUUUGGGUGCACCAAACGUCACAACGUAACUGGGUGACUAUAAAGGUACACUACGGGUAUCUCUGAAAGUGUCUGUUGGGUUGGCACGGAUCGAGACUGGGAUUUGUCACUCCGUGUGACGGAGAGGUAUCUCUGGGCCCACUCGGUAGUGCAUCAUCAUAAUGAGCUCAAUGUGACUAAGGAUUUAGUCACGGGAUCAUGCAUUAUGGUACGAGUAAAGAGACUUGCCGGUAACGAGAUUGAACAAGGUAUUGGGAUACCGACGAUCGAAUCUCGGGCAAGUAACAUACCGAUUGACAAAUGGAAUUGUAUACGGGAUUGAUCGAAUCCUCGACAUCGUGGUUCAUCCGAUGAGAUCAUCAUGGAACAUGUGGGAGCCAACAUGGGUAUCCAGAUCCUGCUGUUGGUUAUUGACCGGAGAGGCGUCUCGGUCAUGUCUGCAUGUCUCCCGGACCCGUAGGGUCUACACACUUAAGGUUCGGUGACGCUAGGGUUGUAGAGAUAUGAGUAUGCGGAAACCCGAAAGUUGUUCGGAGUCCCGGAUGAGAUCCUGGACGUCACGAGGAGUUCCGGAAUGGUCCGGAGGUGAAGAAUUAUAUAUAGGAAGUCCAGUUUUGGCCACCGGGAAAGUUUCGGGGGUUAUCGGUAUUGUACCGGGACCACCGGAAGGGUCCCGGGGGUCCACCGGGUGGGGCCACCUAUCCUGGAGGGCCCCAUGGGCUGAAGUGGGAAGGGAACCAGCCCUUAGUGGGCUGGGGCGCCCCCCAUGGGCCUCCCCCCUGCGCCUAGGGUUGGAAACCCUAGGGUGGGGGGGCGCCCCACUUGACUUGGGGGGGAAGCCACCCCCCCUUCCCCUUGGCCGCCUCCCCCCCAUGUAGAUGGGUCUUGGCUGGCGCCCCCCCUCCCAGGGGGCCUAUAUAAAGGGGGGAGGGAGGGCAGCAACAUUACAGCCUUGGGCGCCUCCCUCCUCCCCUGCUACACCUCUCCCUCUCGCAGAAGCUCGGCGAAGCCCUGCCGAGAUCCCGCUACAUCCACCACCACGCCGUCGUGCUACUGGAUCUCCAUCAACCUCUCCUUCCCCCUUGCUGGAUCAAGAAGGAGGAGACGUGACUGAUCCGUACGUGUGUUGAACGCAGAGGUGCCGUCCGUUCGGCACUCGGUCAUCGGUGACUUGGAUCACGGCGAGUACGACUCCAUCAACCUCGUUCAUUGGAACGCUUCCGCUCGCGAUCUACAAGGGUAUGUAGAUGCACUCCUUUCCCCUCGUUGCUGGUAUACUCCAUAGAUGGAUCUUGGUGAUGCGUAGAAAAUUUUAAAAUUCUGCUACGAUCCCCAACAGUGGCAUCAUGAGCCAGGCCUAUGCGUAGUUACUAUGCACGAGUAGAACACAAAGCAGUUGUGGGCGUUGAUGUUGCCAAUUCUUCUUGCCGCUACUAGUCCUAUCUUGUUUCGGCGGUAUUGUGGGAUGAAGCGGCCCGGACCGACCUUACACGUACGCUUACGUGAGACAGGUUCCACCGACUGACAUGCACUAGUUGCAUAAGGUGGCUAGCGGGUGUCUGUCUCUCCCACUUUAGUCGGAACGGAUUCGAUGAAAAGGGUCCUUAUGAAGGGUAAAUAGAAAUUGGCAUAUCACGUUGUGGUCUUACGUAGGUAAGAAACGUUCUUGCUAGAAACCUAUACAAGCCACGUAAAAACUUGCAACAACAAUUAGAGGACGUCUAACUUGUUUUUGCAGCAUGUGCUAUGUGAUGUGAUAUGGCCAGAAGAUGUGAUGAAUGAUAUAUGUGAUGUAUGAGAUUGAUCAUAUUCUUGUAAUAGGAAUCACGAAUUGCAUGUCGAUGAGUAUGACAACCGGCAGGGGCCAUAGGAGUUGUCUUUAUUAUUUUGUAUGACCUGCGUGUCAUUGAAUAACGCCAUGUAAAUUACUUUACUUUAUUGCUAAACGCGUUAGCCAUAGAAGUAGAAGUAAUCGUUGGCGUGACAACUUCAUGAAGACACGAUGAUGGAGAUCAUGAUGAUGGAGAUCAUGGUGUCAUGCCGGUGACGAAGAUGAUCAUGGUGCCCCGAAGAUGGAGAUCAAAGGAGCAAAAUGAUAUUGGCCAUAUCAUGUCACUAUUUGAUUGCAUGUGAUGUUUAUCAUGUUUUGCAUCUUAUUUGCUUAGAAUGACGGUAGUAAGUAAGAUGAUCCCUUAUAAUAAUUUCAAGAAAGUGUUCCCCCUAACUGUGCACCGUUGCGAAGGUUCGUUGUUUCGAAGCACCACGUGAUGAUCGGGUGUGAUAGAUUCUAACGUUCGCAUACAACGGGUGUUGACGAGCCUAGCAUGUACAUACAUGGCCUCGGAACACACGCAAUACACUUAGGUUGACUUGCCGAGCCUAGCAUGUACAGACAUGGCCUCGGAACACGGAAGACCGAAAGGUCGAGCAUGAGUCGUAUAGAAGAUACGAUCAACAUGGAGAUGUUCACCGAUCUUGACUAGUCCGUCUCACGUGAUGAUCGGACACGGCCUAGUUAACUCGGAUCAUGUUUCACUUACAUGACUAGAGGGAUGUCUAUCUGAGUGGGAGUUCAUUAAAUAAUUUGAUUAGAUGAACUUAAUUAUCAUGAACUUAGUCUAAAAUCUUUACAAUAUGUCUUGUAGAUCAAAUGGCCCACGUUGUCCUCAACUUCAAUGCGUUCCUAGAGAAAACCAAGCUGAAAGAUGAUGGCAGUAACUAUACGGACUGGGUCCGGAACCUGAGGAUCAUCCUCAUAGCUGCCAAGAAAGAUUAUGUCCUAGAAGCACCGCUAGGUGAAGCACCAAUCCCAGAGAACCAAGACGUUAUGAACGCUUGGCAAUCACGUGCUGAUGAUUACUCCCUCGUUCAGUGCGGCAUGCUUUACAGCUUAGAACCGGGUCUCCAAAAGCGUUUUGAGAAACAUGGAGCAUAUGAGAUGUUCGAGGAGCUGAAAAUGGUUUUCCAAGCUCAUGCCCGGGUCGAGAGAUAUGAAGUCUCUGACAAGUUCUUCAGCUGUAAAAUGGAGGAGAAUAGUUAUGUUAGUGAGCACAUACUCAGAAUGUCUGGGUUGCAAACCCGCUUGUCUCAGCUGGGAGUUAAUCUCCCGGAUGACGCGGUCAUUGACAGAAUCCUUCAGUCGCUUCCACCAAGCUACAAGAGCUUUGUGAUGAACUUCAAUAUGCAAGGGAUGGAAAAGACCAUUCUUGAGGUAUAUUCAAUGCUGGAAUCAGCGGAGGUGGAGAUCAGAAAGGAACAUCAAGUGUUGAUGGUGAAUAAAACCGCUAAGUUCAAGAAGGGCAAGGGUAAAAAGAACUUCAAGAAGGACGGCAAGGGAGUUGCCGCGCCCGGUAAGCCAGUUGCCGGGAAAAAGUCAAAGAAUGGACCCAAGCCUGAGACUGAGUGCUUUUAUUGCAAGGGAAGCGGUCACUGGAAGCGGAACUGCCCCAAAUACUUAGCGGACAAGAAGGCCGGCAACACCAAAGGUAUAUGUGAUAUACAUGUAAUUGAUGUGUACCUUACCAGUACUCGUAGUAGCUCCUGGGUAUUUGAUACCGGUGCGGUUGCUCAUAUUUGUAACUCAAAACAGGAACUGCGGAAUAAACGGAGACUGGCAAAGAACGAGGUGACGAUGCGCGUCGGGAAUGGUUCCAAGGUCGAUGUGAUCGCCGUCGGCACGCUACCUCUGCAUCUACCUACGGGAUUAAUUUUAAACCUCAAUAAUUGUUAUUUAGUGCCAGCUUUGAGCAUGAACAUUGUAUCUGGAUCUCGUUUAAUUCGAGAUGGCUACUCAUUUAAAUCUGAGAAUAAUGGUUGUUCUAUUUAUAUGAGAGAUAUGUUUUAUGGUCAUGCCCCACUGGUCAAUGGUUUAUUCUUGAUGAAUCUCGAACGUGAUGUUACACAUAUUCAUAGUGUGAAUACCAAAAGAUGUAAAGUUGAUAACGAUAGUCCCACAUACUUGUGGCACUGCCGCCUUGGUCACAUUGGUGUCAAGCGCAUGAAGAAGCUCCAUGUAGAUGGACUUUUUGAGUCUCUUGAUUACGAAUCAUUUGACACGUGCGAACCAUGCCUCAUGGGUAAGAUGACCAAGACUCCGUUCUCCGGAACAAUGGAGCGAGCAACCAACUUAUUGGAAAUCAUACAUACCGAUGUGUGCGGUCCAAUGAGUGUUGAGGCUCGCGGAGGAUAUCGUUAUGUUCUCACUCUCACUGAUGACUUAAGUAGAUAUGGGUAUGUCUACCUAAUGAAACACAAGUCUGAAACCUUUGAAAAGUUCAAGGAAUUUCAGAGUGAGGUUGAGAAUCAACGUGACAGGAAAAUAAAAUUCUUACGAUCAGAUCGUGGUGGAGAAUAUUUAAGUCACGAAUUUGGUACACACUUAAGGAAAUGUGGAAUCGUUUCACAACUCACGCCGCCUGGAACACCUCAGCGAAACAGUGUGUCCGAACGUCGUAAUCGCACUCUAUUGGAUAUGGUGCGAUCUAUGAUGUCUCUUACCGAUCUACCGCUCUCAUUUUGGGGCUAUGCUUUAGAGACUGCCGCAUUCACUUUAAAUAGGGCUCCGUCGAAAUCCGUUGAGACGACAACGUAUGAAUUAUGGUUUGGGAAGAAACCUAAGCUGUCGUUUCUAAAAGUUUGGGGAUGCGAUGCUUAUGUCAAGAAACUUCAACCUGAAAAGCUCGAACCCAAGUCGGAGAAAUGUGUCUUCAUAGGAUACCCUAAGGAAACUAUUGGGUAUACCUUCUACCUCAGAUACGAAGGCAAGAUCUUCGUUGCCAAGAACAGGUCCUUUCGGGAGAAAGAGUUUCUCUCGAAAGAAUUAAGUGGGAGGAAAGUGGAACUUGAUGAGGUGAUAGUCACUCCUUCCGAACAUCAAAGUAGCACAGCGCGGGAAGAUGUUCCUGUGGUGCCUACACCGACUGGGGAGGAAGUUAAUGAUGAUGAUCAUGAAACUUUAGAUCAAGUUACUACUGAACUUCGUAGGUCCACAAGGACAUGUUCCGCACCAGAGUGGUACGGUAACCCUGUCCUGGAAAUCAUGUUGUUAGACAACGGUGAACCUUCGAACUAUGAAGAAGCGAUGGUGGGCCCGGAUUCCGACAAAUGGCUAGAAGCCAUGAAAUCCGAGAUAGGAUCCAUGUAUGAAAAUGAAGUAUGGACUUUGACUGACUUGCCCGAUGAUCGGCGAGCCAUAGAAAACAAAUGGAUCUUUAAGAAGAAGACAGACGCGGAUGGUAAUGUGACCAUCUAUAAAGCUCGACUUGUCACUAAGGGUUAUCGACAAGUUCAAGGGGUUGACUACGAUGAGACUUUCUCACCCGUAGCGAAGCUGAAGUCCGUCCGAAUCAUGUUAGCAAUUGCCGCAUACUAUGAUUAUGAGAUAUGGCAGAUGGACGUCAAAACGGCAUUCCUUAACGGCUUCCUUAAGGAAGAGUUGUAUAUGAUGCAGCUGGAAGGUUUUGUCGAUCCUAAGAAUGCUAACAAAGUAUGCAAGCUCCAGCGCUCAAUCUAUGGGCUGGUGCAAGCAUCUCGGAGUUGGAACAUUCGCUUUGAUGAGAUGAUCAAAGCGUUUGGGUUUACACAGACUUAUGGAGAAGCCUGUGUUUACAAGAAAGUGAGUGGGAGCUCUGUAGCAUUUCUCUUAUUAUAUGUGGAUGACAUAUUAUUGAUGGGAAAUGAUAUAUAAUUCUUGGAAAGUAUAAAGGCCUAUUUGAAUAAGUGUUUUUCAAUGAAGGACCUUGGAGAAGCUGCUUAUAUAUUAGGCAUCAAGAUCUAUAGAGAUAGAUCAAGACGCCUCAUUGGUCUUUCACAGAGUACAUACCUUGACAAGAUAUUGAAGAAGUUCAAUAUGGAUCAGUCCAAGAAGGGGUUCUUGCCUGUAUUGCAAGGUGUGCAAUUGAGCACGGCUCAAUGCCCGACCACGGCAGAAGAUAGAGAAAAGAUGAGUGUCAUCCCCUAUGCCUCAACCAUAGGGUCUAUUAUGUAUGCCAUGCUGUGUACCAGACCUGAUGUAAACCUUGCCGUAAGUUUGGUAGGAAGGUACCAAAGUAAUCCCGGCAUGGAACACUGGACAGCGGUCAAGAAUAUCCUGAAGUACCUGAAGUGGACUAAGGAUAUGUUUCUCGUUUAUGGAGGUGAUGAAGAGCUCGUCGUAAAGGGUUACGUCGACGCUAGCUUCGACACAGAUCUGGAUGACUCGAAGUCACAAACCGGAUACGUGUAUAUUUUGAAUGGAGGAGCAGUAAGCUGGUGCAGUUGCAAGCAAAGCGUCGUGGCGGGAUCUACAUGUGAAGCGGAGUACAUGGCAGCUUCGGAGGCAGCACAGGAAGCAGUCUGGAUGAAGGAGUUCAUUACCGACCUAGGGGUGAUUCCCAAUGCAUCGGGCCCGAUGACUCUCUUCUGUGACAACACUGGAGCUAUUGCCCUUGCGAAGGAGCCCAGAUUUCACAGGAAGACCAGGCAUAUCAAGCGUCGCUUCAACUCCAUUCGUGAAAGUGUUCAAAAUGGAGACAUGGAUAUUUGUAAAGUACAUACGGAUCUAAAUGUGGCAGAUCCGUUGACUAAACCUCUCCCUAGAGCAAAACAUGAUCAACACCAGGACACUAUGGGUGUUCGAUUCAUCACAAUGUAACUAGAUUAUUGACUCUAGUGCAAGUGGCAGACUGUUGGAAAUAUGCCCUAGAGGCAAUAAUAAAUGGUUAUUAUUAUAUUUCUUUGUUCAUGAUAAUUGUCUAUUGUUCAUGCUAUAAUUGUAUUAUCCGGAAAUCGUAAUACAUGUGUGAAUACAUAGACCACAACGUGUCCCUAGUAAGCCUCUAGUUGACUAGCUCGUUGAUCAACAGAUAGUCAUGGUUUCCUGACUAUGGACAUUGGAUGUCAUUGAUAAUGGGAUCACAUCAUUAGGAGAAUGAUGUGAUGGACAAGACCCAAUCCUAAGCAUAGCAUAAAAGAUCGUGUAGUUUCGUUUGCUAGAGCUUUUCCAAUGUCAAGUAUCUUUUCCUUAGUCCAUGAGAUCGUGUAACUCCCAGAUACCGUAGGAGUGCUUUGGGCACCAAACGUCACAACGUAACUGGGUGACUAUAAAGGUACACUGCGGGUAUCUCUGAAAGUGUCUGUUGGGUUGGCACGGAUCGAGACUGGGAUUUGUCACUCCGUGUGACGGAGAGGUAUCUCUGGGCCCACUCGGUAGUGCAUCAUCAUAAUGAGCUCAAUGUGACUAAGGAGUUAGUCACGGGAUCAUGCAUUACGGUACGAGUAAAGAGACUUGCCGGUAACGAGAUUGAACAAGGUAUUGGGAUACCGACGAUCGAAUCUCGGGCAAGUAACAUACCGAUUGACAAAGGGAAUUGUAUACGGGAUUGAUCGAAUCCUCGACAUCGUGGUUCAUCCGAUGAGAUCAUCGUGGAACAUGUGGGAGCCAACAUGGGUAUCCAGAUCCCGCUGUUGGUUAUUGACCGGAGAGGCGUCUCGGUCAUGUCUGCAUGUCUCCCGAACCCGUAGGGUCUACACACUUAAGGUUCGGUGACGCUAGGGUUGUAGAGAUAUGAGUAUGCGGAAACCCGAAAGUUGUUCGGAGUCCCGGGUGAGAUCCCGGAUGUCACGAGGAGUUCCGAAAUGGUCCAGAGGUGAAGAAUUAUAUAUAGGAAGUCCAGUUUUGGCCACCGGGAAAGUUUCGGGGGUUAUCGGUAUUGUACCGGGACCACCGGAAGGGUCCCGGGGGUCCACCGGGUGGGGCCACCUAUCCCGGAGGGCCCCAUGGGCUGAAGUGGGAAGGGAACCAGCCCUUAGUGGGCUGGGGCGCCCCCCAUGGGCCUCCCCCUGCGCCUAGGGUUGGAAACCCUAGGGUGGGGGGGCGCCCCACUUGACUUGGGGGGGAAGCCACCCCCCCCUUCCCCUUGCCCCCCCCAUGUAGAUGGGUCUUGGCCGGCGCCCCCCCUCCCAGGGGGCUUAAAUAAAGGGGGGAGGGAGGGCAGCAACAUUACAGCCUUGGGCGCCUCCCUCCUCCCCUGCUACACCUCUCCCUCUCGCAGAAGCUCGGCGAAGCCCUGCCGAGAUCCCGCUACAUCCACCACCACGCCGUCGUGCUGCUGGAUCUCCAUCAACCUCUCCUUCCCCCUUGCUGGAUCAAGAAGGAGGAGACGUCGCUGAUCCGUACGUGUGUUGAACGCGGAGGUGCCGUCCGUUCGGCACUCGGUCAUCGGUGAUUUGGAUCACGGCAAGUACGACUCCAUCAACCUCGUUCAUUGGAACGCUUCCGCUCGCGAUCUACAAGGGUAUGUAGAUGCACUCCUUUCCCCUCGUUGCUGGUAUACUCCAUAGAUGGAUCUUGGUGAUGCGUAGAAAAUUUUAAAAUUCUGCUACGAUCCCCAACAAGGAGAUCGCCUACUUCGUGAAGAUCUACCCUAGUGAGGCAAGUCCUUCGUGGGUGAUGGCCAUGAUGGGAUAGACAAGGUUGCUUCUUCGUGGACCCUUCGUGGGUGGAGCCCUGCGUGGACUCGCGCAGCCAUUACCCUCUGUGGGUUGAAGUCUCCAUCAACGUGGAUGUACGAUAGCACCACCUAUCGGAACCACGCCAAAAAUCUCCGUGUCUCAAAUUGCGUUUGCACACUCCAAUCCCAUCCCUUUAUAUUCUUGCAACUUGCAUGCUUUACUUUCCGCUGCUCAUAUACUCUUGUCAUGCUUGCUUGAUAUGUAUUGUGAAUGUUUAAACUUGUGCUAAAACUCCACCUCAACUCAAAGAAAUUAAAAACUNNNNNNNNNNNNNNNNNNNNNNNNNNNNNNNNNNNNNNNNNNNNNNNNNNNNNNNNNNNNNNNNNNNNNNNNNNNNNNNNNNNNNNNNNNNNNNNNNNNNNNNNNNNNNNNNNNNNNNNNNNNNNNNNNNNNNNNNNNNNNNNNNNNNNNNNNNNNNNNNNNNNNNNNNNNNNNNNNNNNNNNNNNNNNNNNNNNNNNNNNNNNNNNNNNNNNNNNNNNNNNNNNNNNNNNNNNNNNNNNNNNNNNNNNNNNNNNNNNNNNNNNNNNNNNNNNNNNNNNNNNNNNNNNNNNNNNNNNNNNNNNNNNNNNNNNNNNNNNNNNNNNNNNNNNNNNNNNNNNNNNNGUUGGUUCCAUACUCGGCUUUAGUUUCACUGAGCCAGAGCGACCUAUAAAACCUUGCUCGGUUUGCUUGCUGAUGCAAUAUUGCCGGAACUACUCUUCACGUACAAAGUCUGCUUGAUCAACCUGAUCAAUCCACCUGCAAUAGCUCAUGUGAAAUACCACAUGCCAGAGUCGAUCCACAUAAGAAUUUGUGUACGUGCAUGCAAUGUAGUGUGUGUGUCCCUGUAGGAAAUCAAUCAGAUGGUCGUUGCUUACUUGUGUAUCUCCGCCGCGUCUGAUCAGCUCGAAGAGUUGUUAUGGCUGUCCAUCAAGCUGAGCCCAGAGCUCCUUCGCCGUCCUGCCCUUGCUCCGCUCCUAGCCGGCACCUCUGCAUCGCCGCCCACGCGCCACCCCGCAUGGAGCCGGCGAGAUCCGGCAGAUCCCGUCAUGGCUGCGAGUUGUUAUCCGAUGGCCCAGGUCCUCGCACUCGGCAGUUCCCCGCAAUGGCGCCUCGCCCCCGUGGUGGGCCUCGAAGCGUUCAGGGAACUGGGCUUUGUAGGUUGGCCCUUGCAUAACUUGGCUGGCGCUUGUUGUUUUCCCUUAUAUGCAAACCGGAACUCAUUACAUGGAAUAUGAUUACGUGACGGUGGCAAAGUAAGAUAGUGUCCUUCUCAUGUACAUGACCGAGAUUGCACUUUCCUAUCACAGAUAGAUAUAUACGUGACAGUCUUUCCUGGUGCAACACAAUAUCUACCUAUACUCAAUAUUUGUAUGUAACGUUAUAUCUUUUAAUCUCAGUCGUUUACGUCAAAAAAUUAAUGGUAGAGAUAACUUAAUCUGUGUGGAUCAAUGUGAUGGCUUGUUUGUCUUCUGUAUUAUGUAUAUAUGUCAGGACCCCGAUUCUAAGUCACACCGAUCUAGCAUGUAACACCUCAUAUCACUUUGCGGCCUCACGCACGGUAUUUCCACGGGUGUCGCCUUACCUGGCCCGGGACCGUUUGCGCCUUUUGGCUCACGUAUAUGAUAGUGUCGCUAGCAUCCAUAUGACAGAGAACCUGGGCCGACAUGACUAGUCGUGAACCCAAAGUGGCACUAACUUACGGGGACAGGCAUACAUGAAACAACAUCAAACAUGUCGGUCAUCAGCGUGUGAAUCCGGGCUGUAGCAACUGGGCUAACAGGACUCCGGGAACCCGGGCUGUAGCAGGCUAGCAGGACUCCGGAUGUCACCGCGUGACAUUUCCCCGAAGGGACAGACACAGGAACGAAGUGAAUCACAUGCCGGCUAGUCUAAGUGUUCCGGAGAAGUAGUGCUGGGCUAGCAGGACUCCGGUGAACUGGGCUGUAGCGGACUACUAUGGCUCAUGGAAGCACAAGACUACAUUUCCCUAUAAGAGAGGCUACCAAGGAUAAACAAUUAGGUUGUCGGAUCCCACACAUACCAAGCAUUUCAAUCAUACACACAAUAUGCUCGAUAUGUGUAAAUACAACAUGGCAUCACAACAAAACUCUACGACUCAAAGUAUUUAUUCAUUAGGCUCCAAGGAGCGAGAUAUUAAAAACAUGGGUCUCAUGACCCAACAUUCAGAGCAUACAAAUCAAAGCACAUGCGAAAGCUUAACAUGUCUGAGUACAGACAUCUACAAAUGAAAAAGGCUGAGAAGCCUGACUAUCUACCAGAUCCUGCCGAGGGCACAAGAUCGUAGCUGAGGUAUCAAGCUAAACGUUGAAGUCCAUGCGGAACUACUAGUGAGACUGAAGUCUCUCUGCAAAACAUAAAUUAAGCAAACGUGAGUACAAAUGUACCCAGCAAGAUUUACAUCAGAACUAGCUACAUAUGCACCAGUAUCAACAAAGGGGGGUGGUGGAGUUUAACUGCAGCAAGCCAGCUUUGACUCGGUGGCUAUCCUGAACUAUGACUGCAAGUAACUCUUUUGAGGUGGCGCACACGAGUCCACAUAUUCACCAUAUCAAUACAUCACUAUGGAUCCGCUCCCGUCUCCCUACGAGAAGGCCAUCCAUAGCACUCACGCUUAUCUUGCGAGUUUUAGAGUAUCCACUUUCACUUGUCUAUGAACUAUAUAGGCAACCAAGUAGUCCUUUACCACGGACGCGGCUAUUCGAAUAGAUGAUGUUAACCCUGCAGGGGUGUACUUCUUCACACACGCUCUCACCACUUAUCGUCGUUUACACGAUAUGUACUCAGCAACCUUCAAGCGGAAGCCCAGCGAGGGUGUCGGCCACGGCCUACCUAAACACUCAAGCCUCUAGUCCAGGUUUAUCGCCUAUCCGCAGGGAGUCCGGUCGAGGUUUCCACAUACCGCCCCGAACGAUGUGUACAGGGUUCCGAGACACCAAACGGGCGCCCGGCAUGCCUGGCCACAUGCCUACCGCAUCACAGCCCACCCCUCGGGUCAGCGCUGCGCACGGCCUCCAGCAUACUACAAACACCAGAAACUACUUGCAACUCCUGGACAGAGGACAAGGGUGGUUAAGAAGCCGAGAGGGUCCAUUGGUUUCGGGCCCAAUGCAUGGUAGUAGUUGAAUCUUAAAUCACACAUACAGAUCUCAGUGCUUAAGGACGGUUCCAAUGAAACAACCCACCAUGUACUCCUACAUGGCCUCUCAUCGAUACCUUUACCAAAUCGUGUUCACACACUUAGCUCACACCCAGUAGGACAUGUUCAUCACCAUUCCAAUUCAUCCCCGAUGAAUCAGACCUGACUCAACUCUAAGCAGUAGCAGGCAUGACAAACAAGCAUGACUGAGUAGGCACAUCAGGGCUCAAACAACUCCUACUCAUGCUAGUGGGUUUCAUCUAUUUACUGUGGCAAUGACAGGUCAUGCAGAGGAAAAGGUGUUCAGCUACCGCAGCAUGUAACAGAUGAAUCGUUGGUGUCCUAAUGCAGUAAAAGAGAGCAGGAGCGAGAGAGUGGGAUUGUAUCGGAAUGAACAAGGCACUUCUGAAGAUAGUAUAGUUCUUCAUCGGUGUCAUCGAUCUCAUCGUCGAAACCACGUCUAUCGAGAGGGGACAAAUACCGGCAACAGAGGAAGAAACACAAUCAAUGCAAUGCACAAUAUGAUGCAUGAUCAUGACAUGGUAAAAUGAGUGUGUUGGGCUAAUGCAACUACAACCAGAUGGGUUUGAGCUAUUUUGAACCAAAGAUUCAAAGUUCAAACUCAUUUGUGAUCUUAAAUAGUGAUUUAUCAUGUUUUGCACUAAACAGCAAGUUAACUUGUUUAAAAAUGCAUGAAACCAGUACAGAUGGAUAGAUUGGAUUUUUCUGAUAAUUUGUCAUAUAUAACUUAUUUCAUUCUGAGCUACGGUUGAAUUUCUAUGAUUUUUAGAAGUUGGCACUAUUUUCUGGAAUUUCCUGGAUAAACUUAAAUCCAGAAAAUGCUUUACUGCGUCAGCAUUGCAUCACUGUGAUGUCAACAGGUCAACAGGGGCUUGUCCGGGUCAAACCUGACGUGUGGGGUCCACACUUCAGUGUAACAGGGCAGGAACAGAGGCUGACCAGUGGGUCCAGGUCAACAUUGACGUGGCAGGGUCAAACUGACACGUGGGGCCGGUUGUAUUAACCUAAACUAAAUAGGGAAUAAAUCUGGGGUUAAUUAGGGCAUGGGGCCCAUAUGUCAGUGAGAGAGGGGGUUAAUUAGCUGGGUCAUUAGUGACUAAUGACAGUGCCACGUCGACUUCGCCGGAGUUACGCCGGCGGCGACCAAAACGCGGCGGAGGUACACUGGAGCGGCUCGGGUUUCGCAUUCCGACGACCAAACGGGCGGAGGAGGGCAUCUACGCGUAGCUGGGAGCGAGCCGCGUCGGGUAGUGGUGGUGCUUGAGCUCGGGGUCGCCGGAAACGACGCCGGCGACGAGUUUGGCGGCUGCCGGAGCUCGGACUCGACGCUAGGAGGCACGGCAAGGGGCGUGGAGCGAUGCUACAGGCUGCUGGGGAUGCGGCGAGUGCGGUGGCGUGCUCGGGUGCAAGCUUGCACGGCCGUGGCCACGGUGGUGACAUGGACGGCGGCAAGGAGCGCUCGGCUCCGGUGGUAGCACGGUUUAGAGAGAGCAAAAGAGCGCGGGGAGAGAGGGGUUCGGUCCGUGAGCUCACAGCGGUUGCAGCAGAGGCGGCGGCGACCUCGGAGGAGGUCCGAAGCGAGCGGGGCGGCGGAGGCGAUCUCGGCGACCAGAGGAAGAAGAAGGGGUCAGGGGCGGCGCUUCGAGGCGUCCGGCGUUUUUUAGCUCAGCGAGGGGGUCGAGGACGGAGUGGCGGAGCUUCUGGGCGCGUCCGUGAGGUGUGGGGUGACUGGUGGCCGCGGGAACGGCGAGCGGCGCGACGGGCGUGUUCGGGUGGCUGCGCGUGAGAGAGACAGAGGAGGGGAGAAGCACGGCGAGAGGUCGAGGGGAUUCCAGGGGGUGCGUGGCGUCGUCGGGAGUCGUCCAGGGCGUCGGCAGAAGCAGGAGGUGGCCGUCGGUGGCCGCGCGCGUGCUAGCGCACCGCGGGCACACGCCCGUGCCUACUGGCGCGAGGAGGAAGGCGACAGAGGGGGCUGCGGUGGUGGACUGGGCCAGUUGGCUGGGCCGCCAGCUCGGCCGGCCAGGUGGGCUGCACAGGUGAGGCCAAGUACUAACUCUCUCUCUCUCUCUCUUUGCCUGUAUUUCUUUUACUAUUUCAUUUCCUCUGUUCUGAUUUAGUUUAGCCACUAAAUCAUUUUAAUAAAUUUUGUAGGUUAUAUAUGGCUUGCUAAAAUAUACACAAAGCCACUCACAAACUUCCAGAAUUAUUGGAGAUAUAUUUAAUAUAUAUUAAAUAUAAAUCCAAAGCAAAUAAUUAUUGGAUUAAUUCAAAUGGACAAAAUAAAUGUUUCUGAGCUCCUAAAAAUAUUGGUUUGAAUUUUACCUCUUGCCAAUAUUUUUAUAGAAUAACAGGAACAUUUUCUUGGACUCAUUUGAGAAGAUUUUAAAGUUGGUUAUUUUUGAACUGGUUUCUGAGGGUUUCAACAGACCUCAAUUCAACUUUCAGAAAUUUUAGACAUGAUGCAUGAGUGCAGUUGCAACUAUUUCACUCAGGUAUUCUAGGGCUGUGACAAUAUAAUAGAGUAUGUAACGUUAUAUCCUUUAAUCUCAGCCGUUUACGUCAAAAAAAUUAAUGGUAGAGAUAAUUUAAUCUGUAUGGAUCAAUGUGAUGGCUUGUUUGUCUUCUGUAUUAUGUAUAUAAUAGAUAAAGAGACAACCAUAAGGCUCCUGCCGGUUGCCGAUGAAUUACAAAACAUGAUCAUCUCAUACAAUAACAUAUAUCACAUCAUGUCUUCACCAUAUCACAUCACAACAUACCCUGCAAAAACAAGUUAGACGUUAUCUACUUUAUGGUUGCAAGUUUUACGUGGCUGCUACGGGUUUCUAGAGAGAACCGUUCUUACCUACAACAAAAACCACAACGGUGAUUCAUCAAGUUUGCUGUUUUAACCUUCUUCAAGGACCGGCCGUAGUCAAAUUCGAUUCAAAUAAAGUAGGAGAAACAGACACCCUCCAGCCACCUUUAUGCAAAACAAGUUGCAUGUCAGUCGGUGGAACCGGUCUCAUGUGCGUGGACAUGUAAGGUUGGUCCGGGCUGCUUAAUCCCACAAUACCGCCGAAUCAAAAUAAGACGUUGGUGGUCAGCAGUAUGACUAUCACCACCCACAACUCUUCGUGUUCUACUCGUGCAUAUCAUCUAGGCAUAGACCUGGCUCUGAUACCACUGAUGGGGAACGUUGCAUGAAAACAAAAAAAAAUCCUACGCCCACACAAGAUCUAUCAAGGAGAUGCAUAGCAACGAGGGGAAGAGUGUGUCUACAUACCCACGUAGACCGUAAGCGGAAGCGUUUCACAACGUGGUUGAUGUAGUUGAACUUUCUUCGCGAUCCAACCGAUAGAGUACCGAAUGUACGACACCUCCGCGUCAGCACACGUUCAGCUCGAUGACGUCCGUGCCUUCUUGAUCCAGCAAUAUGGCGAGGUAGUGGAUGAGUUUCGGCAGCACGACAGCGUGGUGACGGUGAUGGUGAAGUUAUCUCCGCAGGACUUCGCCCAAGAAAAUAUGACCGGAGUUGUAAAUGGUGGAGGGGGCACCGCAUGAUACGUCUCCAACGUAUCUAUAAUUUAUCAAGUAUUCAUGCUAUUAUAUUAUCCAUCUUAGAUGUUUUAUAUGCAUUUAUAUGCUAUUUUAUAUGAUUUUUGGGACUAACCUAUUAACCUAGGGCCAAGUGCCCGUUUCUGUUUUUCCUUGUUUUUGAGUUUUACAGAAAAGGAAUACCAAACGGAGUCCAAUUGACGUGCCAAUUUUUUAUGAUUUUUUAUGGACCAAAAGAAGCCCCUGGAGUAGAAGAGUUGGGCCAGAAGAGUCCCGGGCUGUCCACGAGGGUGGGGGCGCGCCCACCCCCCUGGGCGUGAGCCCCUAUCUCGUGGACGACUCGGAGACCCCCCCUGACGUGAGACCUACGCCAAAAAUUCCUAUAAAUACAGAAACCUCCAAAAAAUAACCUACAUCAGAAGUUCCACCGCCGCAAUUCUCUGUAGCCACGAGAAAUCAAUCUAGGCCGUCUCUGGCACCCUGCCGAAGGGGGCCAUCAUCACCGGAGGCCAUGGAGGAGGAUCCCGGAGGGGCCAUUAUCGCCAUGAAGGCCAAGGACCGGAGGGAGAACCUCUCCCCAUCUAGGGGGGAGGCCAUGGAGGAGGAAGCACAAGGGGGAGAACCUCUCCUCCUCUCUCUCGGUGGCGCCGGAGUGCCAUCGGGAGGGGAAUCAUCGCCGCGGUGAUCGUCUUCAUCAACAUCACCAUCCUCAUCUUUUACGCGGUCCACUCUCCCGCACCCCGCUGUAAUCCCUACUUGAACAUGGUGCUUUAUGCCACAUAUUAUGAUCCAAUGAUGUGUUGCCAUCCUAUGAUGUUUUGAGUAGAUAUCCUUUGUCUUUGGGUUGAUUGAUGAUCUAGAUUGGUACGAGUUGUAUGUUUUAUUUUGGUGCUGUCCUAUUGUGCCCUCCGUGUCGCGCAAGCAUGAGGGAUUCCCGCUGUAGGGUGUUGCAAUACGUUUAUGAUUCGCUUAUAGUGGGUUGCUUGAGUGACGGAAGCAUAAACCCGAGUAAGGGGGUUGUGGCGUAUGGGAUAAAGGGGACUUGAUGCUUUAAUGCUAUGGUUGGGUUUUACCUUAAUGAUCUUUAGUAGUUGCGGAUGCUUGCUAGAGUUCCAAUCAUAAGUGCACAUGAUCCAAGAAGAGAAAGUAUGUUAGCUUAUGCCUCUCCCUCAUAUGAAAUUGCAAUGACGACUACCGGUCUUGUUAACGAUUGCCUAGGAUAAUUCCGCACACCGACCCAUCAUUAUUCCACACUCGCUAUUUAUAAUAUUUAGUAAUAUAUUCUAACUUUACGAUAACAGCACCUACUUUUAUGUUUUAGCUCUCCGAUAUCAUGCAAAGUUAUCCUCUUCAUACCCACAACGUAGUUUUAUUUCUCGUUUCUAGUUGGAAGCAAACGUUCGGUGUGCGAAGAGUCGUAUCAGUGGCAGAUAGGACUUGAGAGAAUAUUGAUCUUACCUUUAGCUCCUUGUGGGUUCGACACUCCAUACUUAUCACUUCCACCAUUAGGAAUUGCUAUGAUGAUUCCCUGCACUUGGGGAUUAUCAAGCUCUUUUCUGGCAUCGUUGCCGGGGAGCAAUAGCGUGGGGUUGAUAUUCUCGUGUGUGCUUGUUUGCUUUCUUCACUAAGUAGAUUUUGUUUUUCCUUUUUGUUUCUGGUUAGUUGUGGGUGAAACAUACAAAAAAAUUAAAAGAAUGAAAAUACAAAAAAAAUUACGUGCCUCUCAUGCCUAAAAAGUUUUUCAAAAAGAGAAGUGAUUGGAAAGUUAUGCAUUGAAGAAGUGAGGGUCGACCUUGAGCACUUGUGUUCAUGCUCAUGGAAACAAUGUAGAAUUUUUCAUGGAAGUUUCUCUUUAAAUAAUUAUCCCCUUGUAUAUAUCCAUUGUAUUAUAAAAAUAAUGUACCAAGCUUUGGUUUUAGGAUGAUUAGAUUGCUUGUUUACUUUGUGCAGUACAAAAACAGAAACUUUGGUUGUAGUGCGUGAAUUUACAUUUUUACUGGAAAGUUAAAUGGGUCUGAAAAGUUUUGCACAUUACUUCUGUACAAUUUGUUUAAAUUUUCAUUUAGAUUUUUGGAGUUACAGAAGUAUACUAAACUUCCAGAUUACUACAGACUGUCCUGUUUUUGACAGAUUCUGUUUUCUAUGUGUUGAUCGCUUAUUUUGAUGAAUCUAUGGGUAGUAUCGGGGGUAUGAACCAUGGUGAAGUUGGAAUACAGUAGAUAAAGUGCUAAUAUGAAAUUGGAAUGAGUUUGCAACAGUACCUAAAGGUAGUGAUUUGCUUUAGUAUACUAACGGAUCUCACAAAGUUUUGUUAAUCUUUUGCGGAUGAAGUGUUCGAAGAACGAGGAGUUACCGAUGUGAGAAGAAUAAAGAGAGGCAAGAGUUCAAGCUUGGGUAUUCCCAAGGCACCCCAAGUAAAUUCUCCAAGGAUACUCAAGCAUCUAAGCUUGGGGAUGCCCCGGUUGGCAUCCCAUCUUUCUUCUUCAACAAUUAUCGGUAUACCUCGGUUUUUGUUUUGUUCACAUGAUUUGUGUACUUUGUGUUUUUAUUUUUCUUUAAGAACCAUGCUAGUAUGAGAUGUCCCUUAAUCAAUUUAUAGAAUGAUUCGUGUGCUUUACUUAUAUCUUUUAAGUAUGAUCUUAUAGAAUUGCUCUUUGUGCUUCACUUAAAUCUUUUGAGUAUGGUUUUAUAGAAUGCUUCGUGUGCUUCAGUUAUAUAUUUUGAGCUUGGAUAUUGGUUAGUCUAUAUUAAUUGUAGAAUGCUCCAUGAAAUUCACUUAUAUAUUUUGGAGUAUGAAUAAUACUAUCAUCUAAAGCGGGUUUGGAAGAGUGUCAACAUUAGGAAUUAGUGAUCCCACUAUUCCGAAUGAGAAGAAUUUUGCUUAUGUGGAGAGUAGAAAAAUUUCUAUGCUUGUAGAUCAUGAAAAGAAUGAUUUAUGUGAUGGUUAUAUUGAUGAAUUCAUUCAUGAUGCUACUGAAAAAUAUUACGAGGGAGGAAUAUAUGCUUGUAGGAGUUGCAAUAAUAUCAAGUUUCCUCUCUAUGUGCUUAAAGUUUUGAAGUUAUACUUGUUCUGCCUUCCUAUGUUAGUUGAUUCUUGUUCCUAUAAAUUAUGUGCUCACAAAAUCCCUAGGCAUAGGAAGUGGGUUAGAUUUAAAUGUUCUAGUCAUAUUCUUCAUGAUGCUCUCUUUAUGUUUCAAUUCUUUUCUUUUAUGUGAGCAUCAUUGAAAUCAUCAUGCCUAGCUAGCUAAAAGGCACUAAAGAAAAGCGCUUAUUGGGAGACAACCCAAUAUUUACCCUUACUGUUUUUGUGUGUUUACAUGAUUAAGCUACUGUAGUAAUAAUGUUUUAUAGCUUUUUGUUUCAAUAAAGUGCCAAGUAAGACCUUUGGGAAGACUUGGGUGAGAGUUAAUAUGAUCUUGCUGUAAAAACAGAAACUUUGCGCUCACGGGAUUAGCUACCAUUUUUUUUACAGAAGAGUGAUUUUGAGUUGAUUAUUUUUGCAGAAGAUUAAUAGACAAAUUCCUCACGUCCACCAAUUUAUCUCAUAAUUUUUGGAGUAGCAGAAGUAUGGUUGUUGUUCAGAUCAUUACAGACUGUUCUGUUUCUGACAGAUUCUGUUUUCAUUGCAUAGUUUGCUUGUUUUCUAGUUUCUAUGGCUUAUAUUUCUCAAUAUAAAUUGUAGAAAUGAUAUGUUACAGUAGGAUUUGUGUGAGAACAAUUAUGAACCUUGUCUUUGACAGUACCAAAGUGAAUGGUUUACUCUUUAUCAUACUAACCUAUCUCACGAAGUUCCGUUAAGUUUUGUGUGAUUGAAGUUUUCAAGCUUUGGGUGAGAUGUCGAUAUGAAUAGAAUAAGGAGUGGAAAGACCCUAAGCUUGGGUAUGCCCAACGCACCCCAAGGUAAUAUUCAAGGAAGACUCAAGCGCCUAAGCUUGGGGAUGCCCCGGAAGGCAUCCCUCUUUCGUCUUCAAAACUAUCGAUAUACCUUACUCGGAGCUAUAUUUUUAUUCGUCACAUGAUAUGUGUUUUUCUUGGAGCGUGUUCAAUUUUACUUGUUGUUUGAAUAAAAUCAUUGGAUCUGAAAGCUUGAAUGAAAAAGAAUCCUCCCAUGGCUAGUUAAUUAUUUGACUACUCAGUGUUCUUCACUUAUAUCUUUGUGGAGUAGUUUGUCAUUUACUCACGUGCUUCACGUAUAUCCUAUGAGUAGAUGGUUGAAAGAAUUGAGUAUCAUAAAUCUGAAUUUAUAUACGUUUCAUAUGCUUAUAACAUGGGGAGUAAUGACUUCACACAUAAUAAGUAUAGGUAGUAAACUUAUUAAAAGUUAGCAAACGCAGAAUUGGUCACUUGAACAAUUCAUGAAAGAAUAUUGAAGGAAGAGAGAUUUCACAUAUAAAUAUAUUAUCUUGGACAUCUUUUGUAAGUGUGAGCACUCAUUAAAAUAUGACAUGCUAAAAAGUUGAUGUUGGACAAGGAAGACAACUUAAUGGGAUAUGUUUUCCUAUAUCCGAAACGUUAUAUUGUCUUGGAUCAUCCAACAUGUUGGGCUUGCCUUUCCCUGUCAUGCUAGCCAAAUUUUUUGCACCAAGUAGAAAUACUACUUGUGCUUCCAAACAUCCCUUAAACCAGUUUUGCCAUGAGAGUCCACCAUACCUACCUAUGGAUUGAGUAAGAUCCUUCAAGUAAGUUGUCAUCGGUGCAUGCAAUAAAAAUUGCUCUCUAAAUAUGUAUGAUCUAUUAGUGCGAAGAAAAUAAGCAUUAUACGAACUUGUGAUAGGGAAGAAAUAAAAGCGAUGGACUGCAUAAUAAAGGUCUUUAUCACAAGAGGCAAUAUAAAGUGACGUUCUUUUGCAUUAAGAUUCUGUGCAUCCAACCAUAAAAGCGCAUGACAACCUCUGCUUCCCUCUGCGAAGGGCCUAUCUUUUACUUUUAUCUUCUACCCUUAUACAAGAGUCAUGGUGAUCAUCACCUUUCCUUUUUACACUUUUUCCUUUGGCAAGCACUUUGUGUUGGAGCGAUCCGGAUAUAUAUAUCCACUCGGAUGUAGGUUUUCAUAAAUUAUUAUUGUUGACAUUACCCUUGAGGUAAAAGGUUGGGAGGCGAAACUAUAAGCCCCUAUCUUUCUCUGUGUCCGAUUAAAACUUUGAACCCAUAAAUAUCACAUGAGUGUUAGCAAUUGUGAAAGAUUAAAUGAUAGUUGAGUAUGUGGAGUUUGCUGAAUCAAAGCUCUUACAUAGACCCUUCCCGAAAAUAAGAUGAAUUGCAAUUGUUUGAUGACUAAGAGUACUGUUUUUUAGUUUUCAAGAAAGUUUAUGAUCUAUACUUCAACAUGUGAAUAGCUUGUUACUUGAUCAUGAAAAGUUUUAUGAGAUGAGCUACUGUUAUGACAUAUAAUGAUGCUAGAAAAGGUGAUUGAAAUUAUCAUUGAUCAAACUUGUGCACCUCCUAGCAUUCACACUUCAUAAAUUAUUUCUUUUAUCAUUUACCUACUCGAGGACGAGCAGGAAUUAAGCUUGGGAUGCUGAUACGUCUCCAACGUAUCUAUAAUUUAUGAAGUAUUCAUGCUAUUAUAUUAUCCAUCUUAGAUCUUUUAUAUGCAUUUAUAUGCUAUUUUAUAUGAUUUUUGGGACUAACCUAUUAACCUAGGGCCCAGUGCCAGUUUCUGUUUUUUCCUUGUUUUUGAGUUUUACAGGAAAGGAAUACCAAACGGAGUCCAAUUGACGUGCCAAUUUUUGAUGAUUUUUUAUGGACCAAAAGAAGCCCCGGGAGUAAAAGAGUUGGGCCAGAAGAGCCCCGGGCUGUCCACGAGGGUGGGGGGCACGCCCACCCCCCCCCCCCUAGGCGUGGGCCCCUAUCUCGUGGACGACUCAGAGACCCCCCUGACGUGAGACCUAUGCCAAAAAUUCCUAUAAAUACGGAAACCUAUAGAAAAUAACCUAGAUCGGAAGUUUCGCCGCCGCAAUCCUCUGUAGCCACGAGAAAUCAAUCUAGGCCCUCUCUGGCACCCUGCCGGAGGGGGCCAUCAUCACCGGAGGCCAUGGAGGAGGAUCCCGGAGGGGCCAUCAUCGCCAUGAAGGCCAAGGACCAGAGGGAGAACCUCUCCCCAUCUAGGGGGGAGGCCAUGGAGGAGGAAGCACAAGGGGGAGAACCUCUCCUCCUCUCUCUCGGUGGCGCCGGAGUGCCAUCGGGAGGGGAAUCAUCGCCGCGGUGAUCGUCUUCAUCAACAUCACCAUCAUCAUUUUUACGCGGUCCACUCUCCUGCACCCCGCUAUAAUCCCUACUUGAACAUGGUGCUUUAUGCCACAUAUUAUGAUCCAAUGAUGUGUUUCCAUCCUAUGAUGCUUUGAGUAGAUAUCCUUUGUCUUUGGGUUGAUUGAUGAUCUAGAUUGGUACGAGUUGUAUGUUUUAUUUUUUUGUUGUCCUAUUGUGCCCUCCGUGUCACGCAAGCAUGAGGGAUUCCCGCUGUAGGGUGUUGCAAUACGUUUAUGAUUCGCUUAUAGUGGGUUGCUUGAGUGACAGAAGCAUAAACCCGAGUAAGGGGGUUGUGGCGUAUGGGAUAAAGGGGACUUGAUGCUUUAAUGCUAUGGUUGGGUUUUACAUUAAUGAUCUUUAGUAGUUGCGAAUGCUUGCUAGAGUUCCAAUCAUAAGUGCAUAUGAUCCAAGAAGAGAAAGUAUGUUAGCUUAUGCCUCUCCCUCAUAUGAAAUUGCAAUGACGACUACCAGUCUUGUUAACGACUGCCUAUGAUAAUUCCGCACACCGACCCAUCAUUAUUCCACACUCGCUAUUUAUAAUAUUUAGUAAUAUAUUCUAACUUUACGAUAACAGCACCUACUUUUAUGUUUUAGCUCUCCGAUAUCAUGCAAAGUUAUCCUCUUCAUACCCACAACGUAGUUUUAUUUCUCGUUUCUAGUUGGAAGCAAACGUUCGGUGUACGUAGAGUCGUAUCAGUGGCAGAUAGGACUUGAGAGAAUAUUGAUCUUACCUUUAGCUCCUUGUGGGUUCGACACUCCAUACUUAUAACUUUCCCCAUUGGAAAUUGCUACGAUGAUUCCUUGCACUUGGGGAUUAUCACCGCACACAGCUAAGCAAUUGUCUCUUAUGUGCUAGGCGCCCCCCUCCCACAUAUAUAUAUAGGUGGGAGGGAGGGAGGAGCAGCCAAAGGAGGCACCCAAGUAGGAGGAAUCCUAUUUGGAGUCCCUCCCAAGCCGCGCCCCCUGCCUUAUGUAGGUUCGGGGGAAAGGCGGGGGAGGGUGCCCCCCCCCCCCCCCGUCCUUUCUCCCAUGAGAGGGAAAGGCAGGAGGGGCUAGCCCUCCCCUCUUUCCUUCCCUUAGGGCCUUCUGUCCAAAGAAGGGGCGCACCAGGGGCUAGUCUGUUUCCCCUUUGGCCCCAUUAGGCCCAUAUCUUUGCCGGGGGUGCCCGAAACUCCUUUCCGGUAACCCGAUAAGUACCUGGUACCCUCUGAAACACUUCCGGUGUCCGAAUACCAUCGUCAUAUAUAUCAAUCUUUACCUCUCGACCAUUUCGAGACUCCUCGUCAUGUUCGUGAUCUCAUUUGGGACCCCAAACAACAUUCGGUCACCAAAUCACAUAACUCAUAUAUUACUAUAUCAUCAUCGGACGUUAAGCGUGUGGACCCUACGGGUUUGAGAACUAUGUAGACAUGACCAAGACACCUCUCCGGUCAAUAACCAAUAGCGGAACCUGGAUGCCCAUAUUGGCUCCUACAUAUUCUACAAAGAUCUUUAUCGGUGAACCAUUAUGACAACAUACGUAAUUCCCUUUGUCCACCGGUAUGUUACUUGCCCGAGAUUCGAUCGUCGGUAUCUCUAUACCUAGUUCAAUCUCGUUACCGGCAAGUCUUUUUACUCGUUCCAUAAUACAUCACCUCGUAACUAACUACUUAGUCAUUUGCUUGCAUGCUUAUGAUGUGUAUUACUGAGAGGGCCCAGAGAUACCUCUCUGAUACUCGGAGUGACAAAUCCUAAUCUUGAUCUAUGCCAACUCGACAAACACCUUCGGAGAUACCUGUAGAGCAUAUUUAUGAUCACCCAGUUACGUUGUGAUGUUUGAUAGCACACAAGGUAUUCCUCCGAUAUCCGGGAAUUACAUAAUCUCAUAGUCGAAGAAAUAUGUAUUUGACAUGAAGAAAGCAAUAGCAAUAAAACUGAACAAUCAUUAUGCUAAGCUAACGGAUGGGUCUUGUCCAUCACAUCAUUCUCCUAAUGAUGUGAUCUCGUUAUUAAAUGACAACACAUGUUCAUGGUUAGAAAACCUUAACCAUCUUUGAUCAACGAGCUAGUCUAGUAGAGGCUUAGGAGGGACACGGUAUUUCUUUAUGUACUCACACAUGUAUUUUAGUUUCCGAUCAAUACAAUUCUAGCAUGAAUAAUAAACCUUUAUCAUUAAUAAGGAAAUAUAAAAUAACAACUUUAUUAUUGCCUCUAGGGCAUAUUUCCUUCACAUAUGUCCAUCUCUUGGAAGAAGAGGCAUAGCAGGUUGCACAUUUUCUCAAGACGCAUCAGCAACUUCGAGAUCUAGAAGUGCAUCAAUAACUUCUAAAUGAUCUCGUAGAACAUUCGUGGAUACAUCAUGUAAGUCAACAGAUUCGUGACGUACUUUUGAAUAUUUCUAUGUUUAAACUAUGUGCUCCGAUUAACAUUUAAGUUCAAACUGUAUAUUUCUAAACUUGAACUAUGUAUUUGUAUGUUUAAGUUGUGUCUUCUGAAUAUUGGCUGAAAAUGAAAAAUGGACAAAAAAAAGGGCCGGACAAAUGAUAAAUGCCGUUAGGUGUCUAAUUUGUGACGGAUAAAUGGCCUCUUCCACAGACAUGUCCGCAAACAAAUCGGAACGGCCAGAGGGGUUUUGGACUUUUGGUGCAUUCUCUUGAAGAUGCCGGUACGAGUCAGAGGAUGCAUAAUAGCUUUCGGCUAGGUGCAUCCCUUGCAAUGAUCAAUUUCCAACCUCAAAUAUGGAAAAACAACGCGCCAACAGCUAGGCAAAGAGGGGUUGGGUGAGCAGCCGAGAAGAGCAAAUGCAGAGUGUAGCCAUUAUCGAGUAUCUUCCUCAAAAAAAUAAAAAGGUUGUGUCUUUCUUUUCCUAACUUGAGGCAAUGUGCCUCUGCCUGAAGUGGGUUUGUAUAGAUGGUGUACCAUUUUUUUGGUCACGCAGGUAACAGAAAAAAUUGGGCCAAAAUUUGGGGCACUGCUUGAAUGAUUGCUAAUAUUUCCGCAUGCUCAAUCCAAUUUAAAUUUACAGUAUUUUUCUUUCCCAAUAUUGGACAAAACGUGGGAAGCCAAAACCUUAGGGAGAAUACAAUCAUUUUUUGCUAGCCAACUUUUUGCUUGUGGUUGGCUUAGGCUCAAACCACACACCAAUAAAUCAUAGAAUCUUUCUUUUUAAAAGUUCAGGUGUAUGCAACAAAUGUUUUAAGCAGUUCCUCAGUUGAUGCAUGCAUGUUUCAAGCAACUGGGAAUACAAUCAUACAUCACUAGAUCAUUAAAGUACAAUCACAUGACAGACAUUUAGGAAUCACAGGACACAGACCAGGCACAGGAGAAUGAUCAUCAUGUGAUUUCCAGCAGGCUUCACGUGCUGUCCUUGAUAACACCAACCACCCCAAAGAAUAUUGAGCAUGUUACAACAAAGUGGCUGAAAA
rnacentral:lncRNA from 1 species